AAAAAAAAAAAAAGUACUUAACCAAAUGCAAUUGCAAUAGACGUUUGGUUUAAAUUGGUUUUAGUCCUGUUUCCAAUUUUUCCGAUUUUGGACCGGAUUAUUAUUAUUUUUUCAAAUUAUUAUUUUUUAAAUUCAAAUUCCUACUAAAACUUUAUUUUUUAGGUUUGAAAAUUUACAAAUGAUCUAAUUUCAUGCAAAGAGAGAUAUUGGGCCUAGAAAAGAAUGAUGUUUUGAAGUUGGAUUUUGGGAAAUAUUAGUUAUAAGAUUAAAAAGGUAGUAUUGGAUUUAAAUAAUUUUGUAAAAAAAAAUAAAAAUAUACACAACCAGUUUGGUCCGAUUUGUUAAGGUGUGAAACCGAAAUCGAAACCAGUUUGAACUGGUCCGGUCCAGUUUGUUGAGUUUUUAGUCAACUGAUUUGUUUUCCGAUUUUUUCCAUCCGGUCUAGCUAGGUGUUCUGAUUUUCCAGUCUUGAUGCCCACCCAUAGAUAUAACUAUUGAUAUGAAGCUAUUGAACUGUAUCAUUGCAAGUAAAGUUGUAGUUCAAUUUAAUCGAUGUCAAAAUAGUUCAAUAAAUUAAACUAUUGCAUUGAACUAUUGAACAACCAUUGUGGAUGCUUAGGAGCUUGGGAAUGUGUUUCAAAUUGCAUACCUAUGUUUGGUAAGUGCACUCUUGGGAAUGCAAUUAUGAACUCAUAGAUAAGGACUUCCCAUGUAGGGGCGAAGUUCAUGCCCUCGGCUUACCAUAGAAAACUUUUUCCCCUCACUUGAGAAAGCAUUUAAUAAUGUUUUUUUUGGACUAACUUACUCCUAUUAUAAUUUUUAAAUACCAUUUUUACACCCUUAAAAAAACUCUUCAUAUAUUAACCUUUAAUAAUUAAAAAAAAAAUCAAGGGUAUUGUUGGAAACUUAAUAACUUUUCAUUCAUAAUAUUGCACUAACCAAACAUGGGAAUGAGAAAUAGUUGCAUUUCCUAGUCCUCAUUUCCCACCGUUUUCAAAUGUGGGAAUGAACAUCCUCCAUUCCCAUCUCGUGGGAUUAAAUAUGGAAAAUUUAUUUCUAAGAAGUUCAAUGGCGAACCACACGGGCCCUAAGGUGACUAUGCCUUUUGGAUUUUGCUUUUGUUUGCCUUCAGCUUAUUCAUACUCAUUUACAAAAUAAUAUCAUUUUUUCACCAUUAAACUUAUAUAGGCGAGCCCAACAUAGCCAAUUUAUUAAAUAAGUUGACUCUAAACAGGUUGGACCAGCCCAACAUAGCCUAUUUAACACCUCUAAUUAAACACCUAUAGAAACUCAUGAUAUACUUUUGUAACAAUUUCUAUUAAUUUAAUCACGCACACAUGACAUAGCUUUCUUUUGAGAGACUUUUUUUGUUCGUUCCUCCACCAAACUCAAACCCUAUUCGCAAUUCCCUCUCUUCAUCUCUCUCUUCCUUUCCUUUUCUCUGGUCACAACGCCUAGUCAUUUCAAACAAAGACGAGAUAGACUUUAGGGGCACAUUGGAACUUUCAAAAAGUUUUGGAACAAUAAGAACCGAACCGAAAGUCGAGCAUGAGGAGGACUGUUAACUUUUUCUUUAACUUUUUUUCCAAUAAAACAAAUCUGUGUGGGGUUGUGGAGGUUCGAAGCUAUGACGCUUUCCACUGACGAAGGGCUGACAAUCAAGUCAUUAUAUACUGAUUGGCUGGCCUAAUUCUUUCGGAUUUUGUCUAACUCCAUAUUUUUUGUUUCUGUAAAUAUCUGACUCUAUUGUACUGUUUUAAUCAACUGAGUGUGCCGUACAACACUUUUUCUUUUUCUUUUUUUUGGUGAACGCCGUACAACACUUUACCUUUUACUACAGAAUGCUUUUUUUGUUUGGUUCUUUAAACACGAUGUUUCUGAAACGUAUUGAGCACAAUGUCAUGUUCAUGUCCUUGUGUCUUGCUCCUUUUUCUCCCCUCUGUUUUUCUACGAUUUACCAGUCUUUCUUUGUUAGGCAGAGGUGAGGUUCGCCUUUCCAUACAACAAACUAUCAACCUUCGUUGGAGAGCGAGGACCCCUUCUUCUUUGUUUUUUUUGUCUUUCAAUUAUAUCUGAGUCUCAGAAAAUGGGAGAAAUAAGGAGAACUGAAACUGAUUCAGGAAGCAGAUCGUCAAGCUUUUCCAUUUUACAAGAUGAUCAAGAAGGCUUUUCACCAACCUCAUCAAACGCACUGGUACUUGUCCAAAACGCACCAAUUGUCUCCUCCUACAAUGAGAGAAUCCGCCCCAUGCUUGAUGCCAUUGACAAGCUCCGCAACCUCAUGGUUAUGGAUGAAGGCAUCCAGCUGCCCACCAUUGUUGUUGUGGGAGACCAGUCAUCUGGCAAAUCCAGUGUUCUUGAGUCCCUCGCCGGCAUCAGCCUGCCGCGUGGACAAGGCAUCUGCACAAGGGUUCCUCUCGUAAUGAGGCUUCAGCACCACUCUGAUCCUGAACCAGAGCUUUCACUGGAGUACAAUGGCAGAGUUGAGCACACCGAUGAGGACAACAUUUCUGAGGACAUUGUGAAUGCCACCAAUCUGAUUGCUGGGGACAGCAAGGGAAUUUCAGACACCCCAUUGACCUUGUUGGUGAAGAAGAAUGGUGUGCCUGAUUUGACCAUGGUUGACCUCCCUGGAAUCACUAGGGUUCCAGUUCGUGGCCAGCCUGAGAAUAUUUAUGAUCAAAUCAAAGAUAUAAUCAUGAAGUACAUAAAGCCCGAAGAGAGCAUCAUUUUGAAUGUGUUAUCUGCUUCUGCUGAUUUUAGCACAUGUGAGUCAAUUAGUAUGUCGCGGAGUGUGGAUAAAACCGGUGAGAGGACUCUGGCUGUGGUUACAAAGGUUGAUAUGGCACCAGAGGGACUGCUGGAGAAGGUUACAGCUGAUGAUGUGCAUAUUGGUCUUGGCUAUGUCUGUGUAAGGAACCGGAUUCGAGAUGAAACGUAUCAGGAGGCGAGGGCUAUUGCGGAUCGAUUAUUUGAAACUGAUCCUUUUCUUUCGAAGAUUGAUAAGUCUAUGGUUGGAAUUCAGGUUUUGGCUGACAAGUUGGUCCAAAUUCAAGCUGCUAGCAUAGCUAGAAACUUGCCUGAUAUUGUAAAGAAGAUCAAUGACAAGCUGAAUUCUUACCUUUCAGAGCUCAACAAAAUGCCGAAAAAGCUCUCAUCUGUUGCUGAGGCCAUGACUGCUGUUACGCAGAUCAUUGGAACAUCCAAAGAAUCACUGAAGAAAAUUCUUGUGAGGGGAGAAUUUGAUGAGUUCCCGGAUGACAAACACAUGCAUUGCACGGCUAGGCUUGUUCAGAUGCUCAAUAAGUGCUCAGAUCAGCUUCACGAGUGCAAUGAGAGUGACAACAAAAGUAAUUUCUUACUGGAGGAGAUUGCGAUUUUGGAGGAGGCCAAAGGUAUCAACCUUCCCAAUUUUGUUCCGCGCAAUGCUUUUCUUAUAGUUUUGCAGGGUAAAGUUAAGGGGAUUUCGAGCAUACCUAUUGGGUUUGUUGAGCAGGUUUGGAGUUAUAUUGAGGAUGUGGUUUUGUCUGUGUUAAUGAGAAAUACAGAAAACUAUUACCAUGUUCAAUUGUCUGCCAGAAGAGCAGGCCAUAAUCUUAUUAAAAAGAAGAAAGAAAGAUCGAUUAAUUGGAUGACGGAGAUAGUGGAAAUGGAGAAAAUAACUGAUUAUACAUGUAAUCCGGAAUAUCUAUCCGAAUGGCAUAGGCUCAUGACUGAACAAGAAACAUUCAUCCAAAAGGUCUUGCGUGACGCUGAGAUAAACAUAAAUGUAAAGGGAAUUGGGAUGGUUGAAGUUGGAGGUCUAAGGAAGUACACACAUGUCCUGUUGUCUCAAGCUUUCGACUUGAAAAUGCGGAUGACUGCGUAUUGGAAUAUUGUGCUGAGAAGGUUGAUUGAUAUCAUGGGUUUGCAUUUGCAGCUGAGUGUUUCAAACCUUGUGAACAAGGACCUGGAGAUGGAGAUUAUGAAUGAGCUACUGGGACCUAACCAUGGUGGUGGGAUUGAGAGGAUGCUGGAGGAACCUUCAUCAAUGGCAGUGAAGCGCCAGAAGCUCAUCAAGAGCAUCAAAAAGCUCAAGGAGUCCAAAGAGGUUGUGUGUAAGAUCAUGGACGACAGGUUUAGUUACGCCGAUUACCUUGUGUGAUAGAUAACUAAGGAGUCCAGUUAAAUUAUGGUAUGUUUCGUGUGAAAGAAGGCAUUUUGCCAAUGAUGUGUGGUUGAUCUGUUUGUACUUAAUUAUGGAUCUGCAUUUUGUUUAUCAUGUACCUGGUUGGUUGAUGUUCUUGUGUGACUUAAUUAUAAGCACAUUCUGUUUUUGUCUUUUGGGUUGCUAAACCUUACCCGGCUUGUUCCUGGAAUAGGAGGAAAUUUCUAUCCUCUGUUCCUUCCUAGAUCUCUUAAUUCAUGACACUGUGGGUGAUGGUCGAAACACCUUCCUUUGUCAUGAUCACAAUUUGAACCCUUUUGGGGCUUUUCUCUUUGAGUUGGGACCCUUGUUAGUCUUCCAUUUGGUCAAUGGGAAUCUAUUGGCAUUUUCUUUUGCCACGCUCAAUGGGAAUAAUAAAUCACUUCCCAAUGGAGCUCUGGCCUUCUAGGCACUUAUUCUUUAGAAUGUUAUAGGCCCUGUUUGAUGAACAUGAAUCCUAACCAUUGUUUGGUGGGCUUAAAAUAUAUUAUAGAUUGGAUAUGGGUAUGGACACCAAUCCAAAAUAAGAGCGACUCCAAACUCAUCACUAGAGUGAAGACCUUUAGACCAUCUCCAAAGGUGAAAGGCUCAAACCCCAAAUUUCACCUCCCGAAAUACAACUUUUCAUCUAUACAUAGGACUCAAGCAGUAUUACAACAUUAUGUAUACACUUUACAAGUUUAUGGAACAUUGAUGUCCAAAGCAUUGUGAUAUAAUUCCUUAAUACUGUAAACCCUUGUGUUUACAAGAAUAAAGACCACCUUUACUUCUCCAAGGCCAACUCUUUCCUCAACCUUGUAAUGUGGAUCCUUUCUAUUGUAAAUCAUAGUAUUACAAGAUUAUGGAUACACUUACAAGUUUAUGGAAUGUAGAGAAUGUGGUACCAACCUUCGAACCCAAGACCACUAGGAGUAGGUUGAGGUCUAAAACAUGGUAAAAAAAAGGUCCUUAAUAUUGUAAACCCUUGUGUUUAAAAAAGGUCCUUAAUAUUGUAAACUCUUGUGUUUACAAGAAUAAGGACCACAUUUACUUAUGUAAGGUCCACCCUUACUUCUACAAUUACCAAACAUGGAGAUAUUAAUUGCAUAAAUGAAGUGCUUAUUGGACUGCAAUUGAAUUUUAUGUACAAAAGAUGUGGAACCCUGUUGGAUGGUACAAUAGAUCGAUCUUAAUCAAUUUUUAACUCUAGUCCAUUUGGUGAUUAAAAAAUUUUAGGUAAGUUUUUAUUUGAACCCAAUUAUUUUAUAAGUAAACUCAACAAAGUAGACAUGUCAAUGGAUCGGAUUUUGAACCGAAUCCAAUUUGAAUUCGAUAUAAUUAAUAAGAGAUGGAUUGGACUUCUCAAUCUGAUAAUUUGAUUACAAUCCAAAUCUGAUUAUAAAUAGAUAUGGAUUAUAAUUGAUCAGAUCCGAUAAUAAUCCGAUAACUUAGUAUGUAGUAUAAUUUAGUUUUUCUAGGCUUCAUAUUAAUAUUUUAUAUGUGUCAAUGAGUAAUUUUAGUUUUAUAUGCACUAUUAAUACACUUAAAACUAAUUUUUAAGAUAAAAUAUCACAAAUUGAUAUAAAAGUAGAUAAAUACAAUAAAAGAACAAAGCUAAUAAUGAAAUUUUGAUUUUUUGUACAUCACAAAAUAAAUCAGAUAAUAAUCCGAUCCGAUCUGAAUUUGAUGCGUAACAAAUAUGGAUUGACAGGUACAAUUCGCUAGUCCAAAUACGAUAUGAAUCCGAUAAUCCGAUAAUCCGAUAAUCCGAUUAUAAAUGAAUUCGAAUUUAGAUUGAUGUAUAUCCAAUCUGAAUCCGACCCGUUUACAGGUCUACAACCAAUGUUUCUUUUAUCCCAAAAAAAAAAAAAGAAAAAAAAAAGAAUUUCUUUUAAAAAAAAUACAAAUUCGUUCAUUAUAAAAAUAUUGUUUUAAAAUUUUCAGUAUUACAUUAAUGACAAAAAACAAAAAACAAAAAAAGGAAAACCACAACACCAUGAAACUGUGGGUGUACGGUCUGGUUUUGGUCUUAAUCAACUGAGUGCGCCGUACAACACUCUUACCUUUUACUAAAGAACGCUUUACCUUUUAUUAGAGAAUGCUUUUUUGUUUUGGUUCUUUCAACAAAACAAAAAAAAUGAUUGAAUGAAUGAAUUAUAUGUUUCUGAAACGUAUUUGUCUAUGUCAUGUUCAUGUCCUUGUGUCUUGCUCCUUCUUUUCCCCUCUGUUUUUCUAUGAUUUACCAGUUUUUCUCUGUUAGGCAGAGGUGAGGUUUGCCUUUACAUACAACGAACUAGCUACCUUCGUUGAAGAGCAGAAGACCCCUUCUUCUUCUUAUUUUUUGUCUUUCAAUUAUACGUGAGUCUCAGAAAAUGGGAGGACAGAGAAUUCUAACUGAUUCAGGAAGCAGAUCGUCAAGCUCAUUCAUUUUACAAGAUGAUCAAGAAGGCUUUUCACCAACCUCAUCAAACGCACUGGUACUUGUCCAAAACGCACCAAUUGUCUCCUCCUACAAUGAGAGAAUCCGCCCCAUUCUUGAUGCCAUUGACAAGCUCCGCAGCCUCAUGGUUAUGGAGGAAGGCAUUCAGCUCCCCACCAUUGUUGUUGUGGGAGACCAGUCAUCUGGCAAAUCCAGCGUUCUUGAGUCCCUCGCCGGCAUCAGCCUACCGCGUGGACGCGGAAUCUGCACAAGGGUUCCUCUCGUAAUGAGGCUUCAGCACCACUCUGAUCCUGAACCGGAGCUUUCACUGGAGUACAAUGGCAGAGUUGAGCACACUGAUGAGGACAAUAUUUCUGAGGACAUUGUGAAUGCCACCAAUCUGAUUGCUGGGGACAGUAAGGGAAUUUCAGACACCCCAUUGACCCUGUUGGUGAAGAAGAAUGGUGUGCCUGAUUUGACCAUGGUUGACCUCCCUGGAAUCACUAGGGUUCCAGUUCGUGGCCAGCCUGAGAAUAUCUAUGAUCAAAUCAAAGAUAUAAUCAUGAAGUAUAUAAAGCCCGAAGAGAGCAUCAUUUUGAAUGUGUUAUCUGCUUCUGCUGAUUUUAGCACAUGUGAGUCAAUUAGUAUGUCGCGGAGUGUGGAUAAAACUGGUGAGAGGACUCUGGCUGUGGUUACAAAGGUUGAUAUGGCACCAGAGGGACUGCUGGAGAAGGUUACAGCUGAUGAUGUGGACAUUGGUCUUGGCUAUGUCUGUGUAAGGAACCGAAUUCGCGAUGAAACGUUUGAGGAGGCGAGGGCUAUUGCAGAUCGAUUAUUUGAAACUGAUCCUUUUCUUUCGAAGAUUGAUAAGUCUAUGGUUGGAAUUCAGGUUUUGGCUGACAAGUUGGUCCAAAUUCAAGCGGCUAGCAUAGCUAGAAACUUGCCUGAUAUUGUAAAGAAGAUCAAUGACAAGCUGAAUUCUUACCUUUCAGAGCUCAACAAAAUGCCGAAAAAGCUCUCUUCUGUGCCUGAGGCCAUGACUGCUGUUAUGCAGAUCAUUGGAACAUCCAAAGAAUCACUUAAGAAAAUUCUUGUUGGGGGAGAAUUUGAUGAAUUCCCGGAUGACAAACACAUGCAUUGCAAGGCUAGGCUUGUUGAGAUGCUCAAUAAGUGCUCAGAUCAGCUUCACGAGUGCAAUGUGAGUGACCCCAAAAGUAAUUUCUUACUGGAGGAGAUUGCGAUUUUGGAGGAGGCCAAAGGUAUCAACCUUCCCAAUUUUGUUCCGCGCAAUGCUUUUCUUAUAGUUUUGCAGGGUAAAGUUAAGGGGAUUUCGAGCAUACCUAUUGGGUUUGUUGAGCAGGUUUGGAGUUAUAUUGAGGAUGUGGUUUUGUCUGUGUUAAUGAGAAAUACAGAAAACUAUUACCAUGUUCAAUUGUCUGCCAGAAGAGCAGGCCAUAAUCUUAUUGAAAAGAUGAAAGAAAGGUCGAUCAAUUGGAUGACGGAGAUAGUGGAAAUGGAGAAACUAACUGAUUAUACAUGUAAUCCGGAAUAUCUAUCCGAAUGGCAUAGGCUCAUGACUGAACAAGAAACAUUCAUCCAAAAGGUCUUGCGUGACGCUGAGAUAAACAUAAAUGUAAAGGGAAUUGGGAUGGUUGAAGUUGGAGGUCUAAGGAAGUACACACAUGUCCUGUUGUCUCAAGCUUUCGACUUGAAAAUGCGGAUGACUGCGUAUUGGAAUAUUGUGCUGAGAAGGUUGAUUGAUAUCGUGGGUUUGCAUUUGCAGCUGAGUGUUUCAAACCUUGUGACCAAGGACCUGGAGAUGGAGAUUAUGAAUGAGCUACUGGGACCUAACCAUGGUGGUGGGAUUGAGAGGAUGCUGGAGGAACCUUCAUCAAUGGCAGUGAAGCGCCAGAAGCUCAUCAAGAGCAUCAAAAAGCUCAAGGAGUCCAAAGAGGUUGUGUGUAAGAUCAUGGACGACAGGUUUAGUUACGCCGAUUACCUUGUGUGAUAGAUAACUAAGGAGUCCAGUUAAAUUAUGGUAUGUUUCGUGUGAAAGAAGGCAUUUUGCCAAUGAUGUGUGGUUGAUCUGUUUGUACUUAAUUAUGGAUCUGCAUUUUGUUUAUCAUGUACCUGGUUGGUUGAUGUUCUUGUGUGACUUAAUUAUAAGCACAUUCUGUUUUUGUCUUUUGGGUUGCUAAACCUUACCCGGCUUGUUCCUGGAAUAGGAGGAAAUUUCUAUCCUCUGUUCCUUCCUAGAUCUUUUAAUUCAUGACACUGUGGGUGAUGGUAGAAACACCUUCCUUUGUCAUGAUCACAAUUGGAACCCUUUUGGGGGCUUUUCUCUUUGAGUUGGGACCCUUGUUAGUCUUCCAUUUGGUCAUGGGAAUCUAUUGGUAUUUGCUUUUGCCACGCUCAAUGCGAAUAAUUAAUCACUUCCCAAUGGAGCUCUGGCCUAGGCACUUGUUCUUUAGAAUGUUAUAGGCCCUGUUUGAUUGGCCGGAUUGGAUUAGAUAGAUUCAAUUAAAAUGGACAUGGAUCCUAACCAUUGUUUGGUGAGCUUAAAAUAUAUUAUAGAUUGGAUAUGGGUAUUAGACACUAUUCUAGAAUAAGAGUUGUUCCAGAAUCCAUCACCAGACAUGAGUUUAUAACAAACGUCUUCUCUGGUUUGCCUUAUUCGUCGUCUUUGAUUUUCCUUCUCCUCUCUCUCUCUCUCUCUCUCUCUCCUUACUAAAAAAAGCUUCAGAUUUCUCUCUGAGUCUUUGUUUUUGAUAUUAUUGUUAAAUAUUUUUAUAUUUUGAUGAUUGUUGUCUUGUUCUUUUGGGUUAGAUGCCGAAUGAUGUAUUUUUUUGUUUAUAAUUUUUUUUUUAUUGACCUUUGAUUGGAAACUAAUCAUUGAUAUGAGUUUGAGUUUCUGGUUCAAUUCUUGCAAAAGUUGGGGGUUUUUCUUCAAUUUGAGGCAAAAAGUUAGGAAUUUGCAUCUGAUUCUUGUUAAGAAAAAAAAAAAUUUGAACUCAAUCCUAGUCUAUUGUUUGGUGCAAAAUUGAAUGGGGACUCAAUCCUAGUCUGAGUUUCAUCCUCUUUGGUUAGCCAUCAAUCAAAGGUAGGCUAGCCACUGUAGACAGACUUUAUGCAUUCUUUGUAAUUCUUUCCUUGAGUCUCAUGAACGUUUGUUCUUUGUAUAGAGGCUCACUCAGCAAUUUUUGUUGCACAAAAUAGUUUUAAAAAAAAUGUAUUACAAAAUACGAAAAAUUUAAUUUGUAAAGAGACAAAAUUCUGAAAAUUUUGGUCUUUUUUAAAUUAAAAUUUUUUUUUAUUUAAAUUGGCCGUUGACAUGAGUUUGCCUAGGCAACAACUCAGGUAAGUCUUGCCUUCGGACUUGCCCAUUUUCUCAUAACUAUAUUCCUAUAUUCAUAUCUUCUAAGAUUCCUUGUUUUCCAUAUCUUCUAAGAUUCCUACGUACAUUAAAGUGUCUCAUUCAAAAAAAUAUCAAACAAACAAAAAGGAAUAGCUGUAAACUAUGGUCUGUGUUUCACAUUGUGACGCAGCACAAACAACAAAGGUUUCAAGCGAAAUCUUGAGUAGCAAGAUAUCUGGAUUCCACCAGAAAUUAAGAGGAAUUCUCUUUGAAAAAUUGUAUUAAAAACUGAGAUAAUGAAAAACGACAGACCAACCUGUCUAAAUACAUCAUUCUCAACCCUUGAACUACCAGGGGAGUUAUUACAUUAAAACUGGAAAAAAAAAAAAAGCAGACUUAAUUCGGAGACAUAACUACGUAACUCCGAAACUGAAAACAGAAUUUAUUCGGAUAAUUAACUGAAAACUUUGAAAGCAGUUUUGGAAGGCCAAACAACCUCAGAACGCCAAAAUCCAUCAUACAUCACAGCAAAGCUGUGAGUUUGACUCGUGGCGUCGUUCCCUUUCCGAAAUGGUAUUUUGCGUCCUAAUCGGAGCUCGGACGACAAAUCUGCAAAUUCCUGCUACGUCCUUUUUCUAGCUCAACCGCGAUAAAAUCUGCCAUCUAUUCUACAUCACAUUGUGCCCUUCAAUUAUUCUUUUAUACAAGCGAUGUUGGGCUUCAAUUAUUUGUUUGAUCAACAUGAGCUUUUGAGAAGUUCUUAUUUGCCCUUUACCAUCUUCUUUUGUCACAAUUUCUAUUAAUGUAAUAGUAAAUUUAGUGACGUUUUUGUUCAUUCACCUCUACUUAAUCCAAACCACAAUAACAAUAUCCCUCUCUGCAUCUCUCUCUCUCUCUCUCUCUCUCUACUUCCUUUUUUUUCUCUGGUCACAAUCGAUACGCAGAAGGGCCAUCUACAUAAAAUAUGCAUCCUCAUCAUGUCAACAAACGAACGAAAUACAAGACGUACGAGGGAACAUUGGAGCUUUCCAAAAGUUAUGGAGGAAUAAAUACCAAAGCGAAACUCUUAAGGCUAAACUGGAAUAUGGUUCUUUAAUUUGGGAAAAAACAAAAAAGAAAAAAAGAAAAAGAAUAUGGCUCUGUGCCCAAAAAAAAGAAGAAGGAAUAUGGUUCGAACACCACGAUACUUUCCACUAAGAGCGUUUCCAACUGCUUGGGCUGGGGGAGGGCCCAAAAAUCUAUUCUAGCAGCUAGGGCUAGCCCGGGCCAGCAGUGGGUCCCACGGGACUGGGCUAGCCCGAAAGCAAGGCUAGCCCAAGCACGAGCCCGAGUUUUGGGCUGACGUUAUUGCUGAGGCCAGGCUGGCGUCAGCCCUCUAAUUCAACUUUUUUUUUACGGUAAAAAAAAUUUGCACGCACGCGCCUGCUUUUCGCCAACGGAUAGAAGCCACGUGGAGGGGUAUGGGCUCUCUGAUUGCUUUUUGUCCUCUAAUCCAAUGGCAGUCAAUUUUUUUACAAUAAAAUUAUGAAAAAAAUUUGAAAUUUUUUUAUAAAAAAACCCAAAAAUUAAUGAAUUUUUUUCUAUAAAUACCAACCAAUACUCUUUACUUUUAACACAAAAUCCUCGUACAUUUUCUUCUCCUUCAACUAUUAUUCACUUUCUACUCAACAUUUUAUUCACUAUCAAUUUUUAUUUUUCUUUAUCAUCUUAUGGCUUCUUCUAUCGAAACCAGAGGGGCAUGGAGUAUCAUGGAAGAUGUUUUGUUGUGUGAGUGUUGGGUCCAAAUUAAUCAUUGUCCCGUCACCGACAAUGAGAUGAAAUUCUGUCAUAUGUAGAGAAAAAUUCAUACCGAAUUUUGUGAAAGAUUGGGUUCGACCCGUACGAAAAUGACAUUGUCCAGUAGGUGAAAAAUUCUCAAUAAAAAGUUGGGGAAAUAGAGAUAUGCCUUGGCAAAGACACUGCUCAUGUAUGACAUUAAGAAUGAAGUAUGAAUUCUAAAAUAUGAGAAAUGAAAAUAUAGAGAAGAUUUGGUGUGAGAGGUAUGAGCUGAGCCUCUGGUUUUAUGGAAAAAUUUAGGCAGAUACAGAUGACAUGUGGAGCGAUUUUAGAGGGUGAAAAUCUUAUCUAAAAUUUGAAAUUCAUAUGAAAUUUGAAAUUUGAAAUUUAUUUGAAAUUUGAAAUUUAUCUGAAAUUUGAAACCGAAAAUUUAUCCAAUUAUGAGAUAUGAAUUUUAUAAUAAAUAUUGACACGUACGAACCCAAAAAUCUUAUCCGAAAAUAUUAUCCAAAUUAAUUGUUUAGGUAAAAAAAUUUGUAAAAAAAAAAAAAUGAAUAACAUUUGCCCUUUGCAAUGGCAAUGAGUAGAAACACACAUUGCUUUUUGCAAAGGCAGCCACUAUUCACGUGAAUAGUAUCUGCCCUACCCCCUCCCCCCUGCCAUGGCAAAGGGCAAAUGAGUGAAGUUGCUCUAAGAGCUUCCAUGGUAGGAAGGUGUAAAUUCGGGGUUGUAAAGCCGCUUUUAUAUCUCAUUUACACAUCUCUUGCGGAUAUAAAUUACGUUUUUGCUCGUUUUUGAGUUAACUAAGGGCAGAUAUAGGGCUGAGGACUACUCUAUAAAUGAUGUUGUCUCUAUAGUUGCCACGUCUAUUUUCUGACCUUAUUAUUUUUUUGGUCAAUAGUGAUGAAGUUUCCAUUAAGAUGAUGAAGGCAAGCCAUGAAUGGAAGCCGAGACACAUCAAAUGAAACCAGGAGUUCGUAGGCUAAAAGACAUAUCUAAAAGCCCCGAGACAUAAAAAGAAAAGCAAACAAACACAUAGACUUGAUAAUUAAGUACAAACAGAUCAGCAAAUGACAGAAUGCCUUGAUUAACAAGAAACAGACCAUAAUUUAGCUAGACUCCUUAGCUAUAUCUAUCACACAAUAAGUUAAUUGGCAAAAGUAACGAUGCCAUCCAUGAUCUUACACACAACCUCUUUAGACUCCUUGAGCUUUUUGAUGCUCUUGAUGAGCUUCUCGCGCUUCACUGCAAUUGAUGGAGGUUCCUCCAUCAUCCUCUCAAUCCCAUCACCAUGGUUAGGUCCCAUUAACUCACUCACAAUCUCCGUCUCCAAGUCGUUGUUCACAAGGUUCGAAAUACUCAGCUGCAAAUGCAAGGCCACAGAAUCAAUCAACCUUUUCAGCACAACAUUCCAAUAUGCAGUCAUCAGCAUUUUCAAGUCGAAAGCUUGAGACAAUAGAACAUGUGGGUACUUCAUUAGACCUCCAACUUCAACCAUCCCGAUUCCCUCUACAUUUAUUUUUAUCUCAGUGUGAGGUCCAAGUCCCAGAUCAUGAGAAUUACGAAAUACCUUUGUGAUGAAUGUUUCUUGUUGAGUCAUGAGCCUAUGCCAUUCGGAUACAUAUUCCGGAUUACAUGUAUAAUCAGUCAGCUUCUCCAUUUCCAAAAUCUCCGUCAUCCAAUGAAUGGACCUUUCUUUCAUCCUUUGAAUAAGAUUUUCGCAUGCUCUUCUGGCAGACAGCUGAAGCUGAUAAUAUUCUUCUGUAGUUCUCAUUAACACAGACAAAACCACAUUCUCAAUAUAAUUCCAAACCUGCUCAACAAACCCAAGAGGUAUGCUCGAAAUCCCCUUCACUUUUCCCCGCAAAAUUAUAAGAAAAGCAUUGCGCUGAACAAAAUUGGGAAGGUUGAUACCUUUCGCCUCCUCCAAAAUCGCAAUCUCCUCCACUAAGAAAUUACUUUUGGAGUCACUCGCAUUGCACUCGUGAAGUUGAUAUGAGCACUGAUUGAGCAUCUCAUCUCAACCAGCCUAGCCGUGCAAUGCAUUUCGUCAUCCGGGAACGCGUCAAAUUCUCCCAUCAAAACAAUCUUCUUAAGUGAUUCUUUGGAUGCUCCAAUGAUCUGCAUAAAAACAGUCAUGGCCUCAGCAACAGUUGACAGAGUUUUCGGCAAUUUGUUGAGUUCUGAAAGGUAAGAAUUCAGCUUGUCAUUGAUCUUCUUUACAAUAACAGGCAAGUUUCUAGCUAUGCUAACAGCUUGAAUUUGGACCAACUUGUCAGCCAAAACCUGAAUUCCAACCAUAGACUUAUCAAUCUUUGAAAGAAGGGGAUGAGUUUUAAAUAAUCGAUCCGCAAUAGCCCUCGCCUCCUCAUACGUUUCAUCUCGAAUCCGGUUCCUUACACAGACAUAGCCAAGACCAAUGUCCACAUCAUCAGCUGUAACCUUCUCCAGCAGUCCCUCUGGUGCCAUGUCAACCUUUGUAACCACAGCCAGAGUCCUCUCACCAGUUUUGUCCACACUCCGCGACAUACUAAUUGACUCACAUGUGCUAAAAUCAGUAGAAGCAGAUAAAACAUUCAAAAUGAUGCUCUCAUCUGGUUUUAUAUACUUCAUGAUCAUAUCUUUGAUUUGAUCAUUGAUAUUCUCAGGCUGGCCAUGAACUGGAACUCUAGUAAUUCCAGGGAGGUCAACCAUGGUCAAAUCGGGCACACCAUUCUUCUUCACCAACAAGGUCAAUGGGGUGUCUGAAAUUCCCUUUUUGUCCCCUGCAAUCAGAUUCGUGGCAUUCACAAUGUCUUCUGAAAUGUUUUCCUCAUCAGUCUGCUCAACUCUGCCAUUGUACUCCAGUGAAAGCUCUGGUUUAGGAUCAGAGUGGUGCUGAAGCCUCAUUACGAGAGGAACCCUUGUGCAGAUACCUUGUCCACGCGGCAGGCUGAUGCCGGCAAGGGACUCAAGAACACUGGAUUUGCCAGAUGACUGGUCUCCCACAACAACAAUGGUGGGCAGCUGGAUGCCUUCCUCCAUAACCAUGAGGACGCGGAGCUUGUCAAUGGCAUCAAGCAUAGGGCGAAUUUUGUCGUUGUAGGAUGAGACAAUUGGCGCGUUGUUGAAAAGUAGCUCUGCUUUUGAUGAGGAAAAUGAUAAGCCUUCUUGAUCAUCUUGUAAAAUGGAUGAGCUUGAUGAUCUGCUUCCUGAAUCAGUUUGAGUUCUCUUUCCUCCCAUUUUCUGAGAUAUAAUUGAAAGCAAAUGGGAAGAGGAAGUCAUGGACAAACCGAGAGAGGAGAAAAAAAAUGAAGGGGGUUGUAUUAGGCAAACUUGACCUCUGCCUAACAGAGAAAUCAUGGAUAAAUAGAGAAAAAAGAUACAUGAACAUGACAUGCACAAUAUGAAAGAUGCAGACAUAGGAAUCUUUUACCUUAAUAUGGGAAUUUAUGCUUUGGUUUUUGUUUUAAGUCGGAAGGGAACUUAUGCUUUUGUACAUCCAACUAGUGGCUGAAAAUGCAUGGACCAGUCACUUCAAUAAUGCAUGACAAGUUACAACACAAAAUGGUGUCUACACUACCAAAAGUAUCAGUGAAGUUCUCUUCAGCGUUCCCACUAUCACACGAAUUUAAACGCAAGAAUAUACGAGUGAGACCAUCUCCAAAGGUAAAAGACUCAAACCCGAAAUUUCACCUCCAGAAAUACAAUAUUUCAUCUAUACAUAGGACUCAAAACUUUUUUUUGUGGAGGGGGGUGGUGGUGGGGGUGGGGAGCGGCGCAGAUAUAUGAUAUAGCAAUACAAUUACUGCAAUUAGAUUAGUGUUGGCCCUCUCAGAAAAUGAAAAACCCAUGUGCAAGUGAUUUUGUAAUUUUGGCCCUUCCAUGCUAAGAAUCCUAGCUCCGCCACUGCACUUGCAUAUUACAUUUCGUGUUCUUAAAAAAUCUACAUAUUAUAUUCAAGAAUCAAGCUCAAUCGCAUGAUAGUAAGAAAAGGAAAAUUCUCAAUAUUUAGAGCACACUUGGAGCCCUAAGUGGUGUGCUCUCCAAGAGCAUAGCAUUUCAGGGCAUGAUCAAGCUGAUCAUCUAGUUUCGUACAGGACUUGCACUCUUGCUUGUUUGAAGCCAAAAGAGAAUUCUUAUUAGGAUAGGCACAAUUCAUAUUUACAUGGUUAAGAGCACAAUAGAAAACGAGGGUGCAUUUGUCGUUGACAUCUUCAACGAGAGUGGAGAUUUUAUCAUGGGGAAGUGUCAUUUUGUGUAGUGCAAAGGCCCUGCUAUGCUACGUGCUCAUCUGUUAGAGUCUGCCUAUGUAGUAUUGGCUUGAAUGAAUCGUACCUAAAAUAAUAAAAACUCAACUAAGUAAUAAAGAAGAGUGAAAUUGUGUUGGGUUACGAUUCGUUUAAAUUACUUGAGCAAUUUUUUGAGCUUAUUUAAGAAACAAGCUAUACUGAAAGAAACAUUGCAUUGGGGAGUGGGGCACUUAUUCUGGAAUUUGAACGGGUGACCAAUGGGGGGAAGGGGGAGGGAUUACUCAAACGAGAAUUUUUACUGUUGAAAAAAUAAAAACAAAACAAAACAAAAGAAGUUGCAAAUUGCAACUUCUGUCGAACGGACAAGAAGGGCCCACUAGAUCCCGCCGUUGAAUCACCACCGUUCUGUUCAAACAGCCAAAACGAACUCAGCAUGCCUCCAAUCACCAAUCCGCUGACUUCUUCAACCGUUUCGAAAAUCGGCUGCAACAGACACAUCUUUUGCUCCAAAUUUACAACCUCGUUUCACCAAUCAAAAGACCAAAUGUUAACGUGCAAGUAUGGCAAUGAUGAAGCUCAAUGCAUCACGUGAUCGAGAAAGCGCCGAAUCCCCGCACCGUGCAAUUGUAGGAAAUAUCUAGAAAUUUCUCCAAAAGUGGGGCCAGCAUUUGACCUCUCAGCCACGUGACUUUGACGACCCUCACCGUCUGAUCCGAUCCGUUUUCUAAGCGCUUGAAUUUAUUUAUUUCUUCAACAUUUUUAUUUUCUCUCUCUAGAUUUUUAUUUUUUUCUCUCGAAGCGCAACCCAACACCCGGGCCCUCAUUUUUCCCUCUCUUUCUCUCUGCAACCAAACCCUAAAAAACGCCAAGGAAAUCUGAAAUCCAUUGCCAUUGGAUGAUGCGAGAGAGCGCCGGUCGCCGCCGUUUUAGCCCAGAGAAGCAGUGGUGGGCGAAUUAUCCGCUGCGGGCGUGAGCAUUGUGAAAAUCGUGUGCAAACCGAACAAACGAUUCCAAUGGCUGAAGAGAAAGGGAGCAAUUCUUGAAGAUUGUUAAAAAGGAAUUUGAAAAUUAAAAAGAUUGAGUUUUUUUCGUUGGGGGUGCUUAGCAUGUGUGAUUUAGUAGCCCGUACGGGUCGGCAUCAGCAACGCUACGAGGCCGGUUGUCGCCUUGUUGCCGGGUACUUACAUUUCUUCGAAUCUAUAUUUUAUAUAUUUGCAUAUGUGUAUGUGUGUUUAUUUGUUUGUGUAUGUUUGAUUUUGAUUGAUGUUGAUGUUGUUUGUUUAUGUGGUAUUUUGGUGGUGGAGGUGGACCAAUGUGUUUCCAUAGUUGGAGAAUUUUGCUUGUGAUAUGGUUUUCUGAUUUUGUAUAAUAUCUUUUGAUUGGUUGAUGCCUACCAUUUGGAUUUUUAAGUGGUGGGGAUUAAUGGGUUUCUUUUGUUUUAUUGUGAGUGUGCAUAUAUACAUGUUUAUUAUAUGGGGUAGGUGAGAAAUGCUGUUUUAUUAGGACAAGCAAUGACCUUGUGUUAUGUGAGAAUGAUCUAUAUUUUUUUCAUCAGAAAUCUUUGUCGAAUCACAUAUGAACGUUUUCUUCCAUUUGCAAAUCUUUUUGGCCUUCAUUAACUAUGUCAUUUACUGUUUGAGGAUUAGGGAAACUAGGAAUUUUUUAAAAUGGUGAUGCAGUAAAUAAGAUUAUUUCGGCGAUACGAUUUGGGUAAAUUGUCAUUGAGGCAAUGAUUAUGGGCAAGGACCCUACUUCUGAAGUACGAAAGUGGCCUUGUGAGGUGAAUUUCUUAUUACAUGAAGACAUGCUGCAAUCGGAUAAGUCAAGGAGUUGAGUUAAACAAAAAUUUGAAAGGAAAUGAUGUUGUUCCAUUAUUUAUAUGUCCAAAUUUCAUGCAGAGGGCCUAGGGAAGUCAAAGCUUCUAGCCACCUACUUGGGCACGGCUUUCUGUAUAGUAUAUUAUACCAGGAUCAGUAGUUUUUGUCAGCUGCUGCUAAUUUUUUUUAGACAAUGGUCCUGCCAUAUGUUCUUUAAGAGGCCGCUCUUUUAUUUUUGGGUGAUCUGUGCAAUUAGAUGAAAUAGGCUGUUUUAGUUUUCUCUGUGUUAAAAGGAUGGGCUGUCGAUCACACAUAUAAAGAGUGAGCUUGGUAGUAUGACGAUAAAUAAAUUGUUUGCCAGGGCCGAGAGAUCAUGCAGACAUUCAUAUAUAGAUCAGAUUCUCUCUCUCUCUCUCUCUUUUUUUUUUUGGUUUUUUUUUUUUGUAACCGAUCUUAAAUUAGUUUUGAUAUUAUUUGCUGGUACAUUUAUCUGUGUGACCAAUUAUUUUUUCUGUGAUGUGAAGAAGCUAACUCAGUUAACCUUUGACAGGUGUAUUCCAUUUAGAUACAAAAAUUCUGAUGAGACUGGUGAUGCCAAUUCUGAGAAGAUUAUUGAGGUGCUUAUGAUUAACUCACCUAGUGGACCAGGCCUUUUGUUCCCAAAGGUAUUUCUUGUUUUCUGUUGGCAUUUACAAUUGUUGGACUUGGUGAGAUCUUUCUUUCUGAACUUUAGUUUUAGGAAUAACUUAUUUUUAGAUAUAAUUUAUUUUUCUUCUGUCGUCUUACUAAUAGAUACAUGGUAAAAAUGAGUUUAAAGGUGUGAAAAAUGUCACUCUCAAAGUAAUCUAUGAUUGAGGGUUGGUGGAUAGCAACUUGAGGUUGAUAAGAUUGCUUUUCUGGCUAACAUUUAUAAGAGGUAAAGCUAUUGUCUUUUCUUGUAUCACCUUUAGAUACAUUUAAGUACCAAUAUAAUCACCCGGGGCUUUGAAAACUUAGAGCAGAAAAUAUCUGCCAUUUUCUAUUGGCUGUAAGUGUAUCCCAGUUACCUCAGUUAUCAACAUGUAGGACGCAUUCUCUUUUACCUGCUAUUUGGGUGGGUUAUUUUCAGAGGCUUCAUAGAAAUCGUCUGAUUAGACCUUCUAUUUUUCUGAUCAAGUAUGACAGUAGUUUGUUUUUGGAGAAAAAUGAAUUCGUUAAGAGACGUGGGCAAUAGUUCUAUUGCAUGAUUCAAUUAAUUAUUAGGCCCUUAGAUAUAUUUCCUCACUUUUGUUUUGACAUCUGUAAUUUUUAGCUGGCAACAGAACUAUGGUUAUGAUUUAUCAUUUGCCCAAGAUAUGCAAAUGUAGAUAUGGAUGCUCUUUGUUGUGAUGUUAUAGUGCCCUCUUUUAUAAUUGGAACUAGAUUAACACUUUUGGACUUUUGUUGUGAUUUUAAUUUCGUGAGAAGAAAUAUAGUCAACUGGUUCCGUAUAAUUCUGUGUUUAUUGUUGAGUUUACGAAAGAUUUAAUUGUUUAGGUGAUGUUAUGUUUGAAAUGUGAUGACUUCUUUGUGGACAUGCAAUUCGAAGUUGAGUUUACACUUGGUAAAAUAUUCAUGAUCUGCAUACCCAUAUAGUUAUACAAUCUCUUGUGUUUUCCUUUGUUGUUUACCCUUUAUGAUAUUCGAAGUUUGUGUGAAAAACUAGUGAUUUUUAACACUAGGGGUGGUAAUUUGGAUUUGAUUAAAUGAAAUGAGGAACUACUUCGGAAAGUGAAAAAUGACAGCACUUGGAUGUUUCAGUUUUGCAGCUUCUUACAAAUUGGGGCUUAUUUUAUGGUAUAUUCUUGCUUUAUUGAUUAUUAUUGUGUCCUGUCAUGCGUAUUGUAAGUUAGGUUGUGAUUGUUCAAAUGUGGAAUGUAUGUAGUGCCUGUGAAUUGGUCACAUGUUCUUGUUUACUGUUGAUUUGGGAGCUGUAAUAUAUAGUGUAUCGGAAAGUUGAAGGCGAUGUGAAUUUGAAAUAUUGGGAUGGUGUUGAAGGUGUACUUGAACAUAUGUUUACAUUAGGAAUGCUGGAGAUAUACUAAUCAAUUGAGACUUUAUGUCUUUAGUGUUAAGCACAAGUUAUAUAACUCAGUAUUUUUAAAAGUGGACUUAGGAGUGAUCUUUACAUUCUUGAGGUGAAGAAGAUUAUUCAUUUUUUUAAUGAAAACUUUACAUAUACUUUGCAAUAUCGAUAAUAUGUAGAUUUAUUGCUAAGGCUCCCACCAGUUUACAACAACUAUUAUGUGCUUCCUCCAGGUAGGAUAUAUGUAACUCUUUUAUUUAUGAAUAUGUUAUCCACUUGCAGGGAGGCUGGGAAAAUGAUGAAACCGUUGAGGAAGCUGCAGUAAGGGAGGCUGUUGAAGAAGCUGGAGUUCGAGGAGAGCUAAUGGUGAAAUACAUCUUCUUAACUUUUAUUUGUUCUAAGAUAUAUUCUGUGAAGGGGGUAGAAUAAAGUUGUAUUCUUAGCAUUGAAUAUUUGCAUGUGUUUUGAUACUUGUCUUUUACCAAAAAAAUUUAUAUUUGUUGUCCUGUCUUCCCAAUAGAUGGUUAAAGUAGAGCAACUGUUAAUCUUUUUGAAUAUCAGGAUUUCCUGGGCUUUUAUCAUUUUAAGAGUAAAACACACCAGGAUGAGUUCAGCCCGGAAGGUGUAUGUAGAGCUGCUAUGUUUGCUUUGUUUGUCAAGGAGGAGCUUGAGUCAUGGCCCGAACAGAGCACCCGAAAUAGAACUUGGCUGACUGUAGCAGAGGCCUUUGUCAGUUGCCGGCAUGCAUGGAUGAGAGAGGCCUUGCAGGAUGGCUUCUCAAAGUGGCAUGCAGAAAAGAUGAUUAGUGCAAGCAAUGAUGUAACGUUGAGUUGCUAGUUGGGGUGUGAGGCUGAACAAGAAGUCGUUUCGGGUGCAUGCUCAUAGACAUAAAUACAGGUGCUGGAAUUGGUUUUUUUGGGGGGCAUUUUUCAAUUUUUCAGUUGGUCAUCAAGUAACAACCUCUUAACAAUAUUAACUGUUCAAAAUUACCUAGUCACUGCCCCUUAAAUUUAUUCUUGUUUCCAGUUGAUCUCUCUGAUAUUUAAACUCAGAGGGUCAAGUUUCAGCUUCCCUGUAUAACAUUUUCCGUUGCAUAAACUUUUAAUUGCCCUAUUCUCUAAUGGUGCGUUAUUGUAAAGUUGGAAACAAAUUUGCAAAGAUCAUUCUUUACAAAGCUUUUGCAAAUUAAAGCGUUCGGUUGCAGGGUGGGAGUGGGUCUCAAAGUUUUGUAAGUACCUUUAUAAAGCUUUUCAGAUCUCAUAAGAUCCAACGGACAGAGAUAAAUUCGAACAAUAUGCACCAUAUAUUCAAACAAAAAUAUAUAAAAAAUCGCUAAAUUAUGCGGAGGAUAAUGUGAAUUUAUAGUACAUAAGUUUAUUUCUUCAUCUCAUGACAAGCGGAAAUGAUUGACAAUUACACUUGGGUUGCAAGCAGCAACUGCAAGAAGCAUCUCAUAACGUUCAAAUCUAGCAAUCACUUGCUCUUCCAAAGUCACCAAAGCUUCAAUAUAGUAUUAACCAACAUAAUAGGUUUUUGUAGAACAACAGAUAUCGAAUCCCAUCCUACCAAAAUUCUAAUUAUAAUGGAAAUUUGCAAAACGUGUACAACAACAGAUAUCGAAUCCCAUCCUACCAAGUUCAAUACAAAUAGAGAGUCAGCAACCCAGUAUUUGACAAUCAUUCUUGACGUCCAUUCCAUCUUGUUCACUAAGGGCAGUUUGAAAGCAGAGAGAACAUCAUCCUCAGAUCAACCCCGUCCUAUAAACUUUGCGACUUCGAUUCAUAUCGCCUUAUUCAAGCCACAAAAUACACAUACUACAGACACAAAAGUUGGUUUGUCAGACCAAAACCUGUUCAGGGAAAACAAAUAUCUCCCAAGACCAAAUAGGAGCUGUUUUUAUUUUUUGUUUUUUUCAAUAAUAGGGUUGGGGAAUCCAAACUUGGGAUCUAUUCCAACAUCGGUGAGAUAGAACAUUUCCUCCAAAAUUAUUAGGGGGAAGUGCGAUGUGUAUUGCUGUAGAUAAGACAACUUUAAACAUCAUAAAAAACUGUAAACACUGCAAAUGAAGCAUCACAUUCUCCAUAUCAUAAAUAAUGAGCUUACAUAUUUGUUUAUUCAUCAAACAUUGAUAAGCCUGUAACUACUGAUAAAUCACAGCAUGCAUACAAAGGACAGUUGAAAUAACAAGCUUUUCUCAUGACCUGCAGCACCGUUGUGCAGGCAUUUUAAGUUCUGUUUCAAUCAAAGUUAGAAGCAUUACCUGAAAACUAUCAUCCAAGUAAAGAAUAAACAAGUGCUUUGGAGACAGAAACAGGUUACUCAACCGCAAAUGAUUCGAGAGGAGAAGCAAUAAAGAAGAAAACUGAUCCCCAACAUACCACUCUCUUGAUCUCACAAAAUCUCCAGAAGUUUUCAAACAGAUUCAUUUGUCUCCACAGAAAACAAUUGCCAAAUGACUCCUGAGUAUCCCAUUAAAGCUGGACCUUUUGUCCGUAAAGGAACCCAAUCAUCAGUCGCAGUUGCUGAGUUUUCUUUUCUUUUUUUCAUAAGACAAGAAAUCCCAUACUUAUGGAAUCACAAUGACGUAAUGAUGCUUACCCAGGACCAACUGCUUGUGGGGAACAAUUAUUAACAGAGCAGGAAUAAAGGUCUGAAAACCAUUGCAAGAUACCAUUAAUAUAGCCUGUGCACACACAUACAAAUCAAGAAAGUGUGCGAAACUUAUAUUUCAUAUGCUCUCUCUGCCAUUGACUCAAAGAAAAGGUAGAGUUAUAGGAUUGGAAUAUCAUUAUGGUAGUGCACUCAAUCUGGGUUCAUCUCUUCGCAAGGCCACUAAGUAGAAAAAUAAACUGAAACAGCAAUAGAAUAGUAGACAAAAGUAGACAAAAGAAACAUAUGGGUUAGAGAACUCAUAUCGUCUAAUUUGAAAAGUACACAAAAUAAAUUGUUGUUUUUUCUCCUCUCCAGAAUAGUUAAAGCAAGAUAUGAGUGUAUUCUAUCAAAAGCAAUUUUCCAAGCAAGACAGUGCAGCAUCAAGGGGUCAAAACGUUGCAACAUCAUACGUCCUGGAUAUCCACUUUUCCUUGGUAUACACACAACAACUGAGGUACUUCACCCUGAUAACUGUCAACAAAUCUCUCCAAGAACUCCUUCUCCACAGGUCCAAACACAGAAUGUAAGCUCAGUUUUUCAGUAUUUAUCAAUCCUUUCGACAACAAUACUCUAACAACCGAACACCUAGGGAUGAUUCUCUUCUGCAAACUAUAAUUCAAAACAUACGGCGACUUGAGAAUUAUUUCUGACGACCAUCCCAUCUUGUUCACUAAAAGAUCCAUUGUUUGCAUUAUUUUCUUCUCUGACAGAGCAAUACACUCCGGGCGCCUCCUGAAAGCAGAGAGAACAUCAGCCUCCGACCAACCCCACCUGCUAUAAACUUCACAAUUUCGCUUCAAUAUCCGCUUAUAAUAUGAACGACACAUUAUGCUUAUUGCCAACACGGAAGUCGACUUUUCCAGGUUAAAACCCAUUUCCUUAACCUCUUUCACAACUUGGCGAAACUUUUCAGUAUCAUGUAUCAAAGCAUGCGUACAAUGAGCUAGCAACAGAGAAAUGCAUGAUUCAGGCAUACCUAAUUCUCUCAAAAUCGCGAUAUUUGGCACUACUUUCUUGGUGUGGGCUUGCAAGAAAAUCGACGAGUUGUACUUGAAAACAGAAACGAUAUUUUUCUCAGGAAGCAGACUCCUCAGGAAAUUAUAAGUGGGCACAAGCUGUUUCUCCAAGCUUCUUUGCAAAAGAUUUGGAUUCAGAACCAGCGUUUUUGCGAGGUCCUCCCUUGAAACUCCAAGAGAGCUGAAAAACUCAAGCUUUGGCAAAAGGGUUUGCUCAGGCCUGGCUAAAAGAAGUUGUGGGCGGGUUUUGCAAAACUUUGAGAUCUGGAUUAUAGAGAAUCCAUGGUUUCUCAGAAGACCCAAAACGGUGUCUGCAUUUUCUGGGGACUGCAACUUGAUCCACUUGGAUGUUGAAAUCGCAUCUUCUAGCGACAACCCACAUGAGGUUAUGAGGUAAUUGACGGUGAAAUUGUGUUGGUCUUCUGAGAUUUCUGAGGUGAACUGUCUGCAGAGUAUCCGAUUUUGAACAGAAAAAUGUGAGGGUUUUAGAUCUCUAGCAAUCAAUAUUUCAGCUCUGGAAGCAAAUGUAGAAGGAGAGAGUAAACAAACCAAUCUGAGGCUCUUCAACUUGGAGAGCGGUACCAUGGUAGAGGUCGAUGAUGAUUGUUAGGAGCGUAAUGGCUAGAGAGAAAAAGAGAGGAAAUAGAAAUUGGAAAUUGACAAUAUUCUCAUUCAUGGCAAGAGUCAACUCAGCGCAAAGUUAAAUACAAGGUAUGAUUCCUACACGUGUUCUCUCACAACACACCUUACGUCCUCCUACUGAAAGAUCUCCAACCGAUAUGUCAGAAGUGCCACAUAGACAUUUAAUGGCUAUAAAUAACAUCUCACAUCACUCCAACCGAUGUGUCAAAGCUGAUGUAGAAUGAAGACUGGAGGUUGAGAUGUUAUUUUUGACAUUCCAAAAGCAAGAUGUCAAAUGAAUAUUUUAUUUUUUUUCUUUUCUCUUUAAUUAAAAAUAAAUCAACACUAAAAUGUAAUAAAAUAAUAAUUUAAUUUGACAUAUUGCUCCCCCCUCUGUCCAAAAUCUUUUCAAGUUCCCACUGCAGUGUGCCAUCAGCAUGAAGGGGUGGAAGAAGCUGCGGUGAAGGAGUGACUGUAUUUCCUGAUAGAGAAAUUGAAUCCUAGCAGAUAUGGAAGAGAAUAUCAGAAAGUAUAUAAGAGAAGAGGAAAGGAAAAUAAGUCAGAGAAACGAUUUGAUGAAUUCCUCUGUAUUCUGCUGCUAUAUUUUUUGCACUAUCUGUCAUAGUGUAUUAGCUUACUCACACACACAAUGAAUUAACCGUUAGAGGAGAGAGAGAGUUAGACACACUUCUAAUUUCAAUUUCAGCCAUCCAUUACAUGUCAUUAGAUUAGGACACUUGUCCAUUGCCAAGCCCAAUGAGACUUAACCAACCGAUACAAUUCAAAUAUUUCUAACUCAGCCUAUGAGCUAAGGCCCAACCCACAAAACAAACUACCAAUCAGUUCACUAAUUUAUACACACAUUCCCCUUUAAAUUGUGGACUAAUUUCACACCAAGAAGCUCCCUAAGAUAAGUGAACUGCUCUCUUGCCAGCGCUUUGGUGAAGAUAUCAGCUACUUGCUUUUCUGUAGGACAGUAAACUAAAUCGAUCACUCCUUGCUAUAACGCCUCCUUGAUGUAGUGAUACCUUCGAUUGAUAUGCUUGGUUUUCUGAUGGAAUAUAGGAUUCUUAGUGAUAGCAAUAGCUGAAGUGUUGCCACAGUGUUGCAACAGUUUGCAUUUCACCAAAGUCUUCCAGCAUAAAUCUUAACCAAGUGGCUUGUGUAGUUGCUUCUGAUACACUAAUAUACUCUGCUUCAGCUAUGGAUAAAGCAACAAAUUGUUGUUUGACAGAUGCCCAAGAGAAAGCUCAACUGCCAAAUGUAAAGGCAUAUCCAGAUGUACUCUUCAUAUCCUCUUCUGAUCCAGACCAGUCACUAACACAAAAACCCACCAAAACAGAACCUUCUCCUUUCUUGUACUUCAAACCAAAAUCAAGAGUUCCUUGAAUAUAUCGCAGAACUCUCUUUGAUGUCCCAUAAUGCUUGUUUGUAGGACAAUGCAUAAACCUUGCCAACAAGCAUGCAGCAUACAUUAUGUCAGGCCUUGUCGCUGUGAGAUACAGCAAGCGUCCAACAAUUUUCCUGUAUUGAGCUUCAUCUGCAGCUCCACUAUCAUCGUCCUUCCUCAGUUUAUCAUUUGGUACCUGGGGAAUGCUCACAGGUUUACAGUCCUGGAACCCAAACCUUUUCAACAGAGUUGAGGCAUACUUUCUCUGAUGGAUGAAGAUACCAUCUUCAGUUUUCAAAACCCCCAUUCCUAGAAAAUGGUGUAAUAAACCCAAAUCUGUCAUUUCAUACUUAUGCACCAUAUCAGUCUUAAACUCCUGUAAUAACUCCUGAGAAUUUUCAGUAUAAACUAUAUCAUCAACAUAUAUAGACACAAUGAUCAAAUCUGAGUCUUUUCUGCACUUGGUAUAUAAUAUUGCUUCACUAAUACUUCUUUUCAAACCAUACUGCACAAGGUAGGAAUCUAUCUCUCCAUACCAGGCUUUAGGUGCCUGCUUCAAAUCAUACAAGGCCUUGUGCAAUUUGUACACUUUAUCCUCCUCUCCUUGCACAAUGAAUCUAUCGGGCUGAUCUACAUACACCUCCUCUUCAAGGACACCAUUUAAGAAGGCAGAUUUCACAUCCAACUGGUAUAGCUUCCAAUUGUUCUUUGCAGCUAGUGCAAUAAGAGUUCUUAUGGUGUCUAACCUUGCCAUAGGUGCAAAGGUUUCAUUAUAAUCUAUUCCUGGCUUUUGUGCAUAGCCUUUUGCAACUAGCCUCGCUUUAUUCUUUUGAACCGAGCCAUCUAAGUUCAACUUUGUUUUAUACACCCAUUUGACCCCAAUCACAUGCUUAUCAGAUGGUCUUCUUACCAACUCCCAUGUCUGAUUUUUCUCAAUCAUAUUCAUUUCGCUUUCCAUUGCCUUUUUCCAUGCCUCAUCCUGUGCAGCUUCAUCAAAACAUUCAGGCUCAACAAUACACAAAUGAUAUCUUUCAUAAAUCUUACUCAAGUUCCUGUACCUCAAUGGUGUGUCAUCAUAUUGAGAUGCAAGCUGUGAUCUGCUAGUUUCACCAUCUUCAGUAGCUAGAGGACUUUCAAUUUCAACUUGAGAACCAUCAACUAUGACUUGCUGUUGAGGUGCAGUCACUUCUUCUAUAGUUCUCAUAUGCAUGUCUGAAAUUUCAUCUGCAGGUAGUGGAAUGCAGACUUCUUUCACUUUGUGUUUCUCCCAGUCCCAUUAGCCAUUUUCAUCAAAAAUUACAUCCCUUGAGAGCAAGACCUUUUGAGUCGCUGGAUUCAAUAUUCUAUACAUACCCCUUCUCAUAAACACCAUAUCCAGUAAAAAUACCUAUGGCACUUUUGCUUCUAAUUUGUGCCUCAAAUUUCCUGGAAUAAGAGGAUAACACACUGAACCAAACACUUUCAAGUGUUUAAUCCCAGGUUUUCUUCUACUGAAUUUCUCAAAUGGUGUAAUAUUCUCCAAAGCUUUUGUAGGACUUCUGUUUAGCAGAUACACUGAUGUGUUCACUGCUUCACACCAGAUGUUGUAAGGAAGUUCCUUCUCAUGUCAUGCACUUUGCCAUCUCCACAACAGUCAUGCUUUUCCUUUCUGCAACUCCAUUCUGUUGUGGAGAGUAUGCAACGGUGAGCUGUCUUUCUAUCCCCAGAUCUUCACAAAACUUUGCAAAAUCAUUUGAGAUGAACUCUCCUCCCCUAUCUGUUCUCAACUUCUUUACAUGAUAUCCACAUUGAAGCUCUACCAUAGCUUUAAACUUCUUGAACACAUGGAAUGCCUCUUAUUUGUUUCUCAAAAAAUAGACCCAACACAUUCUUGAAUAAUCAUCUAUAAAGGUAAUAAAAUAUCUGUUUCCACUCAAACUUGGUGUUUGCAUAGGACCACACACAUCUGAAUGUAUUAAUUCUAGUGGCUCCUUUGCUCUCCACUUUGACUCUUUGGGAAAUGACUCUCUGUAAUUCUUCCCCAGUGCACAUCCUUGACACACGGUAUCACUAUUUUGGAUUUCAGGCAGCCUCAAUACCAUUUCUUGACUCUGUAAUAGCUUGAGACUUCAGAAGUUUAGAUGACCAAAUCUCUUGUGCCAUAUAUGUGCACACUCUAGCACAUUUGUUUUCAAUGCAAGCUCCUUGUUGAUGCUGAAGAUUAGAGGAAAACACCUAUUCCCUUUCUGUUUCACACUGACCACCAAGUUUCUUAAAGAUCUAUCAUCAAAUAUAUCCACCUUAGACUCUCCAAAUAGAAGAAAAUAACCAUGCUCUGUCAUCUGUCCUACACUUAGCAAAUUCUCUGCAAGACUAGGUACAAGCAUAACCUCCUUUAUAUACCUCUUACCCUUCAUUGUUUCAAUGAUCAGUGUCCCUUUUCUUGCCACUUGAACCAAAACUCCAUUGCCUACUUGAACCUUUGCUUUCACUCUUCUGUCAAUGUCUACAAGCAAGUCUUCCCUGGAUGUCAUAUGAUUGCUACAUCCACUAUCUAUGUACCAUUCAUCACUUAUCUUCUUUACUUCUCCAGAAUGAUUAGCAAAGAAUAAAUUUCUAGUUUCUUCAACCUGAUUAGCAAAGUUCACCUGCUGCACAGACUUGUUUGUAUGACAAUAUUUUGCAAUAUGCCCAAUUUUGCCACACUUGUGACACUUGACUUUGUUCUUAACCCAACACUCCCCCAUAGUGCAGUUUAUCACAAAAUUUGCAUUUAUUCCCAGUGUUGUGUGCCUCAUUCUUCACCGGGGGAUUAGGCUUAUUACUCCCAUAAGCCUUGUUGACAUUUUUAUGAGAUUUACUUAUUUGACCAUUGAACCAAGUUUAUUUUGAUCCAAUGUUGAAGCGAGCAAAUGCUUUCUCCAUGUUAUUGUCACCAUGCCUAUCAAGCCUCUGCUCAUAUCGCUUUAAGAUGGCAACCACAUCCUGAGCAUCAAUGGUGUCUAAAUCCUUAGUAUUUUCUAUCACAACUGCAAUACUAUCAUAGGAUUUAGGUAAGCUGAUUAACAGCUUCUGAACAAUUCUUUGAUUACUCAGAUCUUCACCAUAGCUCCUCAUUUGAUUAAUCAAAUCAAACAGCUUAGCAAUAUAUCCAGAAAGAGAUUCAUUAUCAUUCAUUUGAGUGUAUUCAAAAUCACGCCUAAGACCUUGAAGUUUCACAGAUCUUACUUGCUUAUCACCAACAAAUUCUUGUUUCAGAAUAUCCCACGCAGCCUUUGCAGUUUCUUGAGUUGCUAUUCUUGGAAAAAUUUGAUCUGAUAUAGCCCCUUGGAUAAUACCUAGAGCUCUAGCGUCCUUCACCAAGUUCUCACGCAGUAGCUUCCUCUCUGCCUCUGUGAGCUCCUCCGUCUCUUUCGUCGGAGUUUUGUACCCAUUCUCCAUAAGAUCCCACAGCUCGUGCGAACGGAAGAUGGUAUUCAUUUUGAUUUGCCAGAAUCAAAAUUUUCACCAUUAAAGAUUGGUGCCCUGAGUUCCCCUCCUCCAUAUCCAGCCAUGGAAGACCUGAUCGCUGUUACGACCUUGAAUCACUGCAAUGAGCUUUUGCUGUGAAUUCGAGCUCACCCUAAUAAACACGACGCCCAGAAAUUCAGACCCAACUAGACUCUGAUACCAUGUUAGAGAAAUUGAAUCCUAGCAGGUAUGGAAGAGAAUAUCAGAAAGUAUAUCAGAGAAGAGGAAAGGAAAAUGUCAGAGAAACGAUUUGAUGAAUUCAUCUGUAUUCUGCUACUGUAUUUUUUGCACUAUCUCUCAGAGCAUAUUAGCUCACUCACACACACAAUGAAUUAACCGUUGGAGGAGAGAGAGAGUUAGACACACUUCUAACUUCAAUCUCAGCCAUCCAUUACAUGUCAUUAGAUUAGGACACUUGUCCAUUGCCAAGCCCUAUGAGACUUAACCAAUCGAUACAAUUCAAAUAUUUCUAACUCCGCCUAUGAGCUGAGGCCCAACCCACAAAACAAACUACCAAUCAGUUCACUAAUUUAUACACUAACAUUUCCCACCUUCAGUUUCAGUAGAGAAACAUGAAAAACGUUGUGGAUGCGAGUGUUUGGCUGGCAAAUCUAAGGGAUAAACUACGGGACCACUACGUGGGGAAAGCUUCGAAUGAUGAGUGUGACUGAUGGUAGUUUGUCGAUACAACUGAAGACGGAGGUAGACCUAGUCCCCCACGUGGAAUUCGCGGUCAGUACGAUGUCGAUCAGCAAAGAAUUUCAUCCGUUCUUUUGCGACUUGCAAAUUUUGACGCAAUUGUUGGAUAAGGGAGUCACGGUCUCGUAAUGCCAAGUCCACUGCUUGAACCACGGUCAUAUCGGGAGUAUAAUAUUCAAUUGAAGCGGUGAUUGGCCAUACAACGCCUGAUAUGGAGACGUUUUAAUGGAAGAGUGGUAGGUGGAGUUGUACCACCACUCUGCUCACGGAAGCCAUUAUACCCAGGUGUGUGGUUUGUCCCACACAUUGUUCUCAGGUAGUGUUCUAGUGAUUUAUUGAGAUUCUCAGUCUGGCCGUUAGUUUAGGGGUGGUACGCAGAGCUGUGUCACAGCUUGGUUCCUUGGGCAGAGAAGAAGGCCUUCCAGAACUGACCAAUAAACACCGGGUCUCGAUCACUUACGAUAGAAUGAGGCAUCCCAUGUAGGCACAAAACUUCUCGAAUGAAAACUUGAGAAAUCUAACUAGCGGUAUAAGGAUGCUUCACUGGAAUGAAGUGGCCAUAUUUUGACAAACGAUCCACAACUACAAGAAUACAAUUUUUACCCUGAACUGAUGGAAUUCCUUUUAUGAAGUCUAUACCGAUGUCUUGCCAGGUACCUUGAAGAUGGGCAAUGGAUGAAGCAGCCCUUGGGGAUGAAGAGCUUUAUAUUUUUGUCGUUGGCAUAAUGACAACUUGCCACAAAGUGUUUCACCUGUUUUUUCAAGCCUAACCAUCCUUGUAAUGUGCUCAUAUGUUCGUAACUAUCCAAAGUGGCUAGUUGCUGGAGAGUUGUGGAACUCCUCCACAAUUUGAUCUUUCCACUUUGAAGUAGGGGGAACAUAUAUUUUGUUUUGUAAAAGAAGCAAUUGUUCUGCCAAGAAAAAUGUGGUUUAGUAGGAGCUUGGGCUUGCAAAGCCUGCAUAAUGUUCAUAGCUUGUGUCGAUGAGACAAGCGGCUUUUAUUUGUGACACACUAUCAAAAAAUGGCCAACAAUUCUGGUUUGCUAGACAAGGCAUCCGGCCCUGCAUUUUGGGUACCAAAACAAUAAUCAAUCUCAUAAUCAUACCCCAGAAAUUUCAAUAACCACUUUUCUUGUGUUGGAGAGGUGAUUUGUUGCUCCAAAAAAUACUUUAUGGUCUGAUGAUUCGUCGAGAUCUUGAAAUGGCAGCCGAUGAGGUAUGGUCUCGAGUGUUGAAUUGCAAAUACAACUGACAUUAUCUCCUUGUCAUACAUAGAUAGGGUUUUGUGCUUAUCUGAGAGAGCUUUACUCAUAUAAGCGAUUGGAUGUUUGUCCUUGUAUAGAAUGGCUCCAAUUCCCAUAUUAGAUGCAUCAUACGCAACCACGAAUAACUUGGAAAAAUCCGGCAGGGCUAGUACAUGGGUAGUCAUUAGAGCAUCCUUGAGGUUCAGAAAUGCUGACUCGGCUUCUGUCGUUCAUGCAAAAUUAUCUUUUUCCAGCAUAUGAGUUAGUGGCCUGGCAAUCGGGCCAAAACCUUGUACAAACUUCCUAUAGUAUAUGGCUAGUCCCAAAAAUCCUCUCAACCCCUUAAUGGUAGUGGGUUUAGGCCACUCCUCUAUGCAUUGCACUUCGAUUGGAUCCACUACCACUCCAGCUGCAGAUAUGACAUGUUCCGAAUAUGCCAUUGAUUUUUGAGUAAAUAGACAUUUUGAGAACUUCACCUUCAGCUGAUGAGCUCUCAAUACCUCGAAAACAUGAGCCAAGUGUGUAAUAUGCUCAGAUAAAGUUUUGCUAUAAACUAAUAUGUCAUCGAAGAAAACCAAGACAUAUUUACGUAAAAAGGAACGAAAAAUUGAGCUUUAGCUAAUUGUGGCUGUAUCAGUCUUACUCCUCCUACAUUCAUUCCUACAGUCAAUAAUGACAGCCUUCUAUUGAAUUCCUUGAGUUUUUCUUUAAAGUUCCAACCAAUCAACCCCAGGGUUUCUAACCACUCAGCCUCCAGUACCAAAUGGCACCCUGCAACAGCCAAUAAUCUAUAAUUAUUGUGAAACUUGAACAUUUCUAAAUCAUCUGCAAUAUCAUAAACCACGCCUUUAGUAUCGUAGGUAUUGCCAGUAGCGACUACUACCUUCUCUGUAUCUUUGGGAUUGAUAACUUUUCCUAACCUUUGAGCCACGCUUAGGUUUAGGAAAUUCUGGUUUGCCCCUGAAUCAAUAAACACAUGGAUUGGCAUCCUGUCAAUGAAUCCCUGCAGACACAUAGCUCUUCCUCUGAUUCUUUUUUUUGCUGCAAUAGAAUGGAUAGGUACCUCAUCCCCCUCUUCACCAGUUUCUAAGUUUUGUCCUAGUUCCCCCCCUUGUCAGAUCAGUCUCCUUAUUCCUCACUCAUUCUAAUUCAAUCAUUAAAAUGUGGGGGGACUUGCAAUGGUGACCAGGGGUGUAGGGAUCGUCACAGUGGAGACACAAUCCCCUUUGCCGCCUUUCAAGUAGCUCUAAUUGAGUUGUAAAGUGCACUGGAGUAUGAGAAUGGUUUGUCGUCGUUUUGAUGUUUGAGGGCACUGAAGUAAACCCAGGUUUUGGGCGAGGUGCUGUUGUGGGUUGUUUACACCAUAAUGAACCGAGCAGACCCAGCAUCAAGCGACUAGCACCAAGGCAGCCACGCCUUCUCCCAUGCCGAAGGAAGACACACUUCCGAGGUGCCAGACACCUGCCGAAGCUCUCAGCUGCCAAACCUAAUCUCCAGGACACGUGUCAUCACCACAACGGCUUGCACAAAGUCCCACAUUGGAACUUUGUGCAAAGCUCCCACUUUCACUUCCCUUAUAAAUAGGGAACAGUACCCAGGUAAANNNNNNNNNNNNNNNNNNNNNNNNNNNNNNNNNNNNNNNNNNNNNNNNNNNNNNNNNNNNNNNNNNNNNNNNNNNNNNNNNNNNNNNNNNNNNNNNNNNNUCCACUAACUGCUCGUCUGUCUAGCCCACAGCUUUACACAAAGUUUAAUGAAUUGGGCUAUGUAAUCUACCACUGAGCUUAAUUGUUUGAUUUGUGAUAGAGCCAUGUUGAUAGCCUCACCCGGUCCCAAAUUGUUGCAACAUCAUCUCUGAAAAUUUACCCCACGAGUCUCGUGGGUAUCGUGCCUCGAACCAUUUCAUCCAUAGAGCGGCAUCACCACCUAAAUGCAUCAUUGCUAUUGUCACCCACUUAGGUUAUUCGACCUCAUGAUAUGCCAGGAACCUCUCUGCUAUAACCAACCAUCCAUAUGGAUCCUCCCCAUAGAAGCGCGAUAAGCCGAGCUUCAUGGGUUUAAUUGAACUACCUGAACUAGUGACAAACAUGGGGUUGGGUAUUGGGUUAUGAAUCGUUAGUCCUGUGGUGAACUGAGGAACUCUGAUUUUGAGCGUUCGUUUUGGCUUGUGGAUGCAAGAGAGAUGUUAGCAAGGGCAAUUGAACAUAGCUGGGACUUGGAACUGUGGUUUGCAGGGAAUUAUGGUACGGUGAGGGCGAACGCCAGACGGCCCAUGACCAUGGAAACCGUCAUAUGGUUUGCAGCUCUAGGAUUCGCAUAGCCCAGAAUGGGAUUCGCACUAGUUGUCCCCCAUGAUAUUGGUGUGUCAUUAGAGGCAACGUGUUGGUCGGCGUCGUCAUCAUCACCGUCGUACGCUCCAUCCCUGAAAGCGUCACGCUCUUGCUCUUCAAAGCCCUAAAUUCCUCCCGCACCGAUUGUUGGAAGGAAGCUUUUGCAAAGAGACAUGUGGCAAAAAUAUCAGGUUAUUGGCAAAAAUAGAAACGAUCCUAUUGACUAAGAGACAUGUGGAUUGGACCAUAACCCAGCUAAAGAGCCCAUGAUGGUAUUGUACCCAACAAUGAUCAAUUUGGAAAAUUGAAAGGGAGCUUCUAUAGUGAGUGGGAAGUUAUAAGGGGUGUUUUUGAGGGGUAUGUAAGAGCCGUUGGAUUUCAUCCAACGGUGAGUUUUUAAAAGAGGGUGCAUGUAGAAUCGGGUUGAAAUCUAACCCGUUAGAAAUCCAACUUCAGUUGUUCCCCUCUUUCCCUCUCUGUGAAAAACUGAAGCCUUUCUGUUUGAAUGUAAAGCAAACCCACAAUUAGAAGGAUCCAAAUCUCCCAAACCUUAUAGUCACUCGACUGUCAUUAGCUCGUUGGGAGGCCUGCGAUCUAUAGUAUCCUGGGUAUUACGAAGAAUGGCUCUUACCUAGCUGUUGCCCUGUUUUGAUUCUAUGGCUCAAGUGAAAACCCCUUCUCUUUUCAUUCAGCUGACAAGAUUCCAGAUGAAAGCAAAGUAGCUUAUCUGUUUUUGUAGCUAGAAGCCGCAGCAGCAGUUGUUCCUCGAUUUUGGUAGAGAUGGAGUCUCAAAUACCAAAGAGUCUUCUCUAAUGUCCACCACAGUCUUUCAAGCUGACUGACUUCAGAGCUCCCGAUUGAUUUUGAGAGGUAAGUUCACUUGCUGGAUUGAUUUUAUUGGGUUAGGUUUAUUUUUUGUGAGGGUGGGAAAUUCGUCAUUUGUGGCAUCAAUAAUGUGUCAUUUUCUUAUGAAUAUUCAAUAUACUUAGUUCAUUGUUGUUGGUCGGGGUGGAAAAUUAUGAAAUGUAGGUAAAAGAACCUAAACUUAGGCUUAAUGACGUUAGGAGUAAGCAGUUGGAGAGGAUAUUGGGUGAAGUUCUGUAAUUGGUGGUUUGAAUUACAUUUGUGUUCUUAGUUGAACAUGUUGGUUCUAAUGUUAUUUUGACCAGAUUAUUUCCCAAGAGAUGACGUAACUUGUAUGAAAUUUUGCUUGUGUUUUGUGUAAUCGGAAGUUAGGCUAUGCGUAUUUUGUGUCAAUUUGGGCAAUGUUUUGUGUAAGUGGAAUGCAUUGAUAUGUUGUGAUGCAGUAAUGACUGAUUAAUGAAUGAAUAAUUGCUAUGCAGUAAUAUAGAAGUGGAUCAAUAAUAUACGUAGAUAAAAUGUCUGGGGGCUCAGAGAGUGAUGAAUGUGCAACAGCUAAUGGGAGGGUUUAUAUUCCUGAAGUAAGAAAUGAGGAAACACCAACAGUUGGGAUGAAGUUUGACUCGCUUGACCUCGUUUACAAUUUCUAUAAUAGAUAUGCAUUCUUGGCUGGUUUUGGUAUUCGACUUCAUUCUAGCUUUUGGGGGAAAAACAAGAAAGAGAUUUUGAGGAAAGAAUUUGUAUGUUGCAAACAAGGUGCAUACAGGAAGGAUGAAACUCGGGAGAGAAAAAGACAACGGGGAAUAAGUAGAUGCAAUUGCAAAGCAAAGAUUGUGGUUGUGAAGACAAAUGGGAGCAAGAAGUAUACCAUUUCUCUUUUUGCAGAGGGACACAAUCAUAAGAUGACACCCUCAGAAAGAAUGCAUUUAUUGAGAUCACACCGUCAUAUUUCAGAUUCUACAAAAGUACUCACAAAACAAUUGGGUUCAGUUAAUAUUCCCAUUCAUCAGAAGGUAAGUAUAUUCGAGGUGCAAUCCGGAGGAAUGGAUAAAAUCGGUUUUAUCAAAAAAGAUAUCUACAAUCUUGAAUGUAGUGUGAAUGGGAAGCUGAGGAACCACGAUGUUGAACUAGUGACCGAGUAUUUUAUGGCUGAACAGAAAAAAAAUGAGGCUUUUUAUUUCAAGAUUGAGGGAGAUGGGCAUGACAGGUUUAGUCGAUGUUUUUGGGCAGAUGCAACUUCUAGACGGGCGUAUGGGUUUUAUGGAGAUGUUGUUGUAUUCGAUACCACAUUCAACACGAAUCGAUACGACUUGACAUUUGCACCAAUGUUGGGAGUUAAUAACCAUGGUCAGACAAUUGUCUUAGCAUGCGCAUUUUUGAGCAAGGAAACGACUGAGUCGUUUGUUUGGAUGUUUGAGGAGUUUAAGAAAGCCAUGCCAGGUGGGGAACCUAAAACGAUCAUUACAGAUCAAGAUGCGGUAAUGGCCAUAGCGAUUUCAAUAGCCUUCCCGACUACAUUUCAUCGACUUUGCAUAUGGCACAUCACAUCAAAGUUCUCUGUUAAGUUACCACAUUCUGCUUAUAAGGAGUAUUGGCGUGAAUUUCAGAAAGCCAUAUGGGAUACUGACAAUAAGGAUGAGUUUGAUGCAAAAUGGAAUAUUGUGGUUACAAAGGCUGGUUUGACUGACCAUCCAUGGCUAAGUUCAAUGUUUGAUUUAAGGAAAUCUUGGGUUUCAGCCUACGCACGACAAUUUUUUGCCGCUGGAAUGUCAAGCAGCCAAAGAGCAGAAGGUUCUCAUGGUUUUUUCAAGCAAUACAUAUCAAGGAGAAAUUCGUUGAUGGAUUUCAUAAUACGAUUUGAGAGGGCACUUUCUCAUCAACGUGAAAAAGAGUUAGUUGCUGAUCACGUAGAUGCAUUUGAAGUGGCUCAAUGUCUUCUACCGAUGCCAAUGAACAAACAAAUGGCUACCUUGUACACAAGGACAAUGUUUCAAAAGUUUGAGCAAGAACUAAUACAAAGUACAGCAUGUUUCCUAGAGCUCAAAACAGAGGAUGCUUGUAAAGUUGUGUUCAACGUGAGCGAAAGGAAAAAUUGGGAAACAAGAGUGGCAGAAGUCGAAUAUGUCAAAGAUUCUGACCACGCAUCGUGUAGCUGCAAAAGAUUUGAAUUUGUUGGAAUUAUUUGCAAGCACAUCCUAGCAUUGUUCAGAAGGGACCAGAUUGAAUAUAUGCCCGAUAAAUAUAUUUUGAAGAGGUGGAAGAAAACUGCGAAAUCUGGAUUGGUGUCAGAUGCAAAUGGCAAUGAAAUUAAAGACUGUGCAGAUCCUGGCCUUCUAAUAAAGCGGAGUACAAUGUCUCGACUUGCUUCAGAUGUGGUUGAGGAUGCAUUAAUGAGUGAAGAAGGAUGUGAGCUACUGUCAGAGACUCUGAAAAGUUUGCAGGUGAAGUUGAAGUUGCUGAAGGAUGGACCAAGUAAUAACGAAGUUGGAGGGUCCAGCUCUCAAACACAAUAUAUGAAAGACCCUAAGAGAGUGAGGUGCAAAGGAAGGUCGAAAGGAGUAACGGGAGCAAAGGAAAAGGCAAUGAAGCUGUCAGGAGUGUGGACACAUUGGUCAUGAUAGAAGACAAUGCCCAGCCUUGAACACACCGUAAGAUGCUAACACUAUUUGUAAUAACAUCUAAAAUAUGAAAAGGUAAAAUUUUUAUGUGCUUGUGUUUGAUGUUUAUGCAGGACAUCACCGUCGAACAAUGACGAAUCAACUCCAAUACAUCGUAGUGGCCCAUUAUUCGACGAUUUUGACAGGAUGCACGGACCAACUGAAUGAUUUAUAUUUGUAUUAGACGAAAUGUGAUUGUUAUGAAGAUUAAUGAUCAAGUGAAGUUUUAUAGAUUCAGUUUUUGAAUGUUAUUGUGUUUUUGUUCAUGUCCACCGAUGAGCUCUUACUAUGUCCACUGGUAAUUGAAAUGAAAAUUUGCUUGGUUUCAUUCUUCCAUGAAAUUUGGAGACAUGUUAAUUUUACGUCUUCUCCCUAUUUAUAAAUUUUCAUAGACAAUUGAUCAAGUAUGAAAUUUGUAGUUAUGUGAAGAAGCAAUGACUUUUACCAUGUAAAAUGGGCAGAUUAUAACACAUGAUGACAGAGAUUCAUUUUUCAAAUCCUCAUAUAUGAAGCAAAUGAAACUGAUAUUUGUGUUAUUUUAAGUUAGAUAAUGACAUUAAGGGAGUAUAUGUGCAAUACCACGGUCACCCUCAACCAACUGAACAGCGGUAGCCGCAAUCACUUAGUCGUAUCGGUCGGCUUCUUCCGAGCAGCUUUGACGUGCUUAUGCUCAUUCAUGUCACCCCCAUCGUCUAGUAUCUCUCUCACAGCAUCAGGGGACACAUAGUUCCAAUCAUAACUUGUAUGAGUAGUUGCCGCAAAUGCUCGGAAUUUGUCGAAUCCUUCGUUGAAUGCCAACUCCAGUUCAGUAUGGUGCUUUUCGCAUCGCAUAUGGUUCAUCAAACAACCUUUGAUUUCAUCAUUCAUUACUGUAUCCAACUCCUCAGCUUUCAGCUUCCUGCUAUGACUCAGCUUCAAGUACUUGUUCUUUUGGGAUAACGCUUUGUUCACCCUAAUGUUAAGAUCAGCCAAAAUUGCCUCGUCUUCAACACAUUUCUCGUGCCAUGAAUUGAUCAGUCUGGAAUUAUAAUCCAGCUUGCCACUGACUGCAUGUAUUGCCUGUAAUGGAUCAUCGGAGUCCCCCUCACUCCCAAAUGAUGUUGAAAAAGGAAGGGGUCGGCGAGUACAAUGUGGAAAUAGAACCUGCCACUCCAAUUUGUCAUCUUCGAUUGUGUUGUUGGCGCCUGAAGAGGUUGACAUGCUUGAAUAAUCCUCUUUGUUUUGGGAGGAUGAGGAUUGCAUAUGCAAUUUCGUUUGAGAAAGGGAACAUAGGUUUAUAGACCAACAUACCAAAGCUUGUGUGUAGUCAACAUAUGUACUUUUUGGCGGGAAUUUUUUAAAAUUAGGUGUCAGGUUUUUCUUUUCAAGCAUGUCAACCUCACACUCUCCUGACACCACUGAUAGUGGUUGAAACAAACUCAAUGGAAGUGACAUCUACUUAGUUAACUCAACCAAACUAGUUAGGAUUCAACUUAGAUUGUAUCAGACCACAAAUUAAUUUAUACAUUCUCAACCAAAUAUUUUUUGGCGGGAACCCUUUUCUUGGUAUUACUAUCACCCCUUUCAUAUAAAUUCUCGUUCCACACAAAACUCACUCCUCCACCGAAUCUGUCUCCAUCUACUGAUACUCUCUCAAGCAAACAAACUCAUUCCCCCCAAAGAAUGAGCAUAAGCACAACCAAGUUUGAUGUGAGCAUAAUAAACACCCCUCCAAACAAAGACCGGCUUCGACACGCAAGUGAGUCACCAGACAAGCAAUGUCACAUUCCUAGACAGAAUGACCAUUUUGUUGGAAGUUUUGAGUCUGAAAGAGUUGUUGCUUUUUGGAAGGAGAGGCAUCUUCAACUUGGUGAUGAAAUCCAAAGGGCAAGGGCACGUUUGGAAUUUGUGGAAGGCCAAAUUGAAGAUGACAAAAGGCAGGCCAAUCUGGAUAGGGCGAAGUUGCAGCGCAUGAAGCGUAGACACAAACGACUUCGGAGUGUAGCUCUUCAAAAAUACAAGAACUCAUCUAAUGCAGUGGAGUCAAAGAAGCGUGUGAUGCAAGCUGGAUUCGACUACUUCCGAUCCUAUGCAAAACUCGUCGUACCCGGGUUUGAUUGGUCAUCUAUUACCGUUUCCGACGUCACCAAAUAUACUCAGCAAGGGAAGUAACCAUUUUGGUUCUCGUGUUUGAGCAGAGGCAAAUAAGUGGAAUUGGAAUUUUCGUUACACUCUGCUUCAAAGCUAUUUUGAUGCUAACUACUAUGGAAGAUUUAAACCUUAAUAUUUUGAUGUCUUUAAUUACGAAAACAGAAGAUGCAAAGAGACCAUCUACUUCAGUCAUAUGUUGCUGCCAUGUCCAUUUGUUUUUGAUCACUUAUCAGAUUUGGACAUGGUUGCAUCAUAUGCAAUGUUGCCUUUAUUUAGUAUAUGUUAGGACAAGGUUUAUGGAAAAGCUUUUGUGAGUGCGUUUGUGACAAGGUUAUGGAAUUAUUAUGUACACUUUAUAUAUUAUUUUUUGUACUGGUUCAUUUCCUACUACUUCUUGCUUUCUUUAUAUUUUAUGUUUGUGGAAUCCCUCUCAAAGUUAACAUAUACUGUGAAAAAAAUAUUAUGCAACUGAUUAUAUAAUCACUCAUAUAGACUAGGACAAAUAUUCACUAAGGGUUUUAAAAUUGCUUCACUUGUGUGAGGUUAUUGAGAAAAAGUAUGGCAUUAUUUAUGUGAUUGGACAUGAUUGAAAAUGUAUUACUGAUUCCCAAUGCGGCGUCAUAUGGACAACUUAUUGAAUACCUGUGACGUGUUAAUAACUCUAGGUGCAGUUGCAUGUGGACAACUUAUUGAAUACCUCUGACGUGUUGAAAACUCUAGGUGCAGUUGCAUGUGGACAACUUAUUGAAUACGAACUGACGGCUUCAAAGCUCUAGGCGUAGUUGCAAUGAUGGCUUCAAAGCAUGUGCAAUUAUUAUUUAUGUACAUUAUUAUAACAAAACAUAUUAUUGUAUAUAGUGAAACUACAUAUUGUAUUAUUAGAAAUUAUAUUUCGAAUAUUAUCCGAAAUAUACGUGUUAACGUGAAUUUGGGUUAAGAGGAAAGUGAGUUAUGUACAAAUAAUUUUCAUUUUCUCAUUUUCCGGGCAUUUUUUGGAUUUUCGUAGAAUUUAUUACCUAUGUCCACAGAUUGUUGCACUAAAAAAGCCAAAAUAAUAGCAAGAGGACACCUGGCGCGAUCUCAGCCCGUCACUUUUCACUACUUGCACAAGUGUACGUCAGUCAACAUGGCCACACCCUCCCAUUUUACCCUAAAUUAUUAUUUUAUUACCUUUUUUUCUUGGAAAAUUCAUAACUAAAUACAGAAAAAUUCAAAAUAUUAUCCGAAAAUUGCUACGAACUCAUUGACACUCCAUCUCCGUUGCUGAAUUCUCCGAUUCAUUGUUACGCAUUUGUAAAAUUAAUUCCCAACAUUAACGGGAGAUGCUUGUUGAAGUAGGUUAUUCAAGUUGAAGUUAACAAACAUCAAUACGUAGGGUUAAGAGAAAACUGAGUUAUGUAACACAAUUUGGAUUAUUUCAUUGCGAGACGAAUGAUUUAUAGGUUCUCCUAGUUUUAUGACGUCACAAGUAGGCCGGAGUAAUUUUGGGGGCAUUUUUAGGAUUUUUCUACUAUUUUUUACCUAGUUUCAAAGAUUUUUGAACAAAAGAAUCCAAAAUGUAAAAGAAGAUGACACCUGGCGCGAUCUCAGCCCGUCACUUUUCACUACUUGCACAAGUGUACGUCAGUCAACAUGGCCACAUCCUCCCAUUUUACCCUAAAUUAUUAUUUUAUUACCUUUUUUUCUUGGAAAAUUCAUAACUAAAUACAGAAAAAUUCAAAAUUAAUUCCGAAAAUUGCUACGAACUCAUUGACACUCCAUCUCCGUUGCUGAAUUCUCCGAUUCAUUGUUACGCAUUUGUAAAAUUAAUUCCCAACAUUAACGGGAGAUGCUUGUUGAAGUAGGUUAUUCAAGUUGAAGUUAACAAACAUCAAUACUUAGGGUUAAGAGGAAAGUGAGUUAUGUAACACAAUUUUGGAUUAUUUCAUUGCGAGACGAAUGAUUUAUAGGUUCUCCUAGUUUAAGGACGUCAAAAGGAGGCCGGAGUAAUUUUGGGGCCAUUUUUACGAUUUUUCUACUAUUUAUUACCUAGUUUCAAAGAUUUUUGAACAAAAGAAUCCAAAAUUAACAAGAAUAUGACACCUGGCGCGAUCUGAGCCCGUCACUUUUGACUACUUGCACAAGUGUACGUUACCAAACAUGGCCACAUCCUCCCAUUUUACCCUAAAUUAUUAUUUUAUUACCUUUUUUCUUGAAAAAUUCAUAACUAAAUACACAAAAAUUAGAAAAACGAUCCGAAAAUUUCUACGAACUUAUUGCGAUUUCAUCUUCCUACUGCAUUCCCUGUUUAAUGGUUAUGCUACAUUAGUAUUUUAUUAUUAUUUAUCCACAAUUAUUAUAAUUAUUAUGAUAUUACUUUUUAGGCUGUCCAUUUGUUAAUUAUAUUUAGUCCAACUUGUUGAAAACAAUUUUAUUUUCCGUGCGAAUAGGCCAUUUGUAGUGCUCAUCGGUUUCUCUGUUCUUCAAUUUGUUAAUUUUUUUAUUUUUUAGGUUGAAGGGAUGUUUUGAAACAUAAUAUGGAAAUAUACAAGUCAUCCAUUGUACUCCUUCCACACAAAAAAAUAGUCUACGUCAUUCACUGUUCAACACCCUAGGUUAAGACACGUGUAACCAAAUCCUUUCGGAUAUGCUAAGUGGGAAAAUGUCAUUCCCAAGCACUGGUGAAAAGACACCUAUUUACUCCAUGCAUGACUUUUCGUUUACCAAAUAUGAUGUAAAAUAUCUGUGUCAGUAAAAUGUCAUUCCUAGCCGUCUAUGAUGUAAGUAAUCAUUCCGCUAUAUAAUAAAUAUUAUACAUUUAUAUAUAAAACGGUUUAUGACAAAAUACCAACAUUUGAACAACAUUUAAACUGAGAUAGGUAUAACGUAGCCAGCCAACCUAGAAGUGAAGAGAAGCAAGUCCACAAUGCAUCAAAACCGUAAAUUUGUACUAAAACUAAUGCAAAAAUACGUGAUUCCCUCACACAACAUACUCACGCAGGAUUUUGCACCAAAAAAUACUCUCACGGUGCCAUUUGCAUCGGUUGCAACAAGUCCACAACGCAGGAUUUAUCUUGUCUUCACUAGGCCAGCCUGGAAUAACAAAAUACCAUUCAUUGUUGUUACAAGCGCUGCACCGAUUGAACUUAAUCUUCCCAUAGUCAAACAUAUCUACGAUAUGUCUUGCAACAAAUGCUCCGCGACAUCUUCCUGUCAAAGCAUCCCUGGUUCCUUUCAUAUCAAUGUUGUUACGUUGAUUCAAAGAACACAAGAAUUGUAAUGCAUCCUCUUUUGACUGACCAAUUCCGGACAUACCAAGUAGUCCAACUACAUAUGCCGCUUCCAUAUGGCCUGCCGUGGCUGCAAUGCGCAUCCCAUACAACGCUUCCACCUUACCGUGCCUGAAAAAACCUUGGAAUGCUUCUCUAAAUAUGGACUCAGGGUUAUCGCAAGCCCUGCAUUGUUGCAAGAAAUGCUGGACCGCAGGUCUGGCACGGUACCAGAUAGGAUCGUAUGGGUACUUUGCCAUUGAAAUGGUGUUCCACACUUGUGGACUGUUUGCCAAAGUUCGGAACAAUCGGCACACAGAUGCCAUACGGAAGAGAUCUUCCGAUGAUUCUUUUGCCACGUAUAACAUGACUUGAAACCAAGCGGACUCCGGGAUGAAAGCUUCGGGCAUAUCGAAAUGGACAUGCUUCCUUCUCUUUCCUCCGACUGUAGUGAAGUGUUUCGAAUUCAUUGAAAAGUUUUUGGAAUGGAACGAUUUGAGGAGUGGCAGAGGGGAUAAAUGAUAAUAUUUGGGGUACACGUUUUGUUUUAGCCUCUGUUUAUAGUGUUUUGAAAAGGUGUUUCCAGUUGGGGUUUUUCCAAGUUGACCAUUUUGAAAGAAACUGAACCCCAGUGAAUUAAAACUUAAGACAAAAGAAGGGAAAACGUCAUAACGGUGCAUACAGAGUCAGACAGUCAAAAAGUUAAUUAAAUGGCUAUUUGCAUAGCCAUUUUUGGGUUUAUCCCACUAUCAAAUUCAUUGAUACAAAUGUGAUGGAUUACUGACUAGUGACAGAAGGUCCCAUCAUAUACUUUUUCAUUUUCCCACACCCAACUACCCCUAGUAAUGUUAUUAAAAUGGAACCAAUAAUGACGGAUUCUUAUCCAACUAGUUGCCUUAAUGAAAUAUAAAUAAAUUAAUAAAAUUGAAGCAGUGUCCCGUCAUUAUUCAGAAAAUAUAUUGGGUAGUGAAGUAGUUUAUAUUGCUUUUCGGGCUAAAAGAUGUCACAAUGCUGACGGUACAGGUGUCGACAUCGUGACCAACCCACCAAAUGAUCCCAAAAAAAUUAAAUAUAACUCGAUUUGGGCAGAGAUGAGAGAGAGCUGAGUGACAAGUUUAGGGUUAUGAGUGAAGGGGUAUGAAUGACAACUAUGAGUGAGAAGGUAUGAGUCCGAAGAGGUUUCAGUGAGAAGAUCUGAGUGAGAAGAGGUACAAUUGAGAAGAUUCAACAUGUCUUCGUCUUCAUCUCCCGCUCAAACAAAGAGGUGUCAGUAUUAUGGAGCUACAAUGGUGCUUCGGGUUUCAAAAUCUGACAAAAAUCGAGGGAAGCCAUUCUGGAAGUGUCUAACCUCCUAUGUAAGUUUUAAUUUAAAGAAUAUGUAUGUGGGUGAAAAAAAAACCUAUGUCUAACUCUGACAGAAUUAUAUUCUAUAUAUGAUGCCUGCAAUUAGGGAGCCACCAGUUGCAAUGGAUUCGAAUGGGUUGAUAUAACCUCCGCUGAAGCAGAACAUCAAGAUGACACGUAUGAUGCUAGAGUGCUGAACAUGCUGAAGUCCAUUAAGGACUUGGUAUUAGUUUUAUUAGUUAUAUCAAUUGUCAUUUUAUUUGUUCUUUUAAUGAUCAUUUAACUGCACGGUUUAAAAGAUUGUGAAAGUUCUCCCGCACAAGACAUGUUGCACGCACCACCAAUGAGACCCUAAACCCAUUUUGUAAUAUUUGGUAACUGCAUGUAUUUCGCAUGUUAUUGAAUGUUUAUUGAAGGUUUAUUGAUAGUUUGCUGCAUGUAUAUGGAAUAUCAUUGCCCCAAAAUUGGAUGUUUAUUGGGGCCACAAGUAUCACUCAAGUAAGAAAGAAGGGGGGAAACGGACCUUAUUCUUUCUUUUAGUAGGAAGAACAACUGUUAAGUUUAAUAUCCUAUUCAAUACGACUUCCCUAUGGUUGGUGUACUUGGGGACUGAAGUAUAUUGCAUCAUUAUUGUGGGCAAGGGCAUGUCUAUUGUGUGUGUUAAGGGAGUAUUGUGUGUAUAUUGCAUGUCUAUUGUGUGUAUAUUGCAUGUCUACUGUGUGUAUAUUGCAUAUCUAUUCUCUGUAUAUGGCAGGCCAAGUUUGUGUAUAUUGUUUGUCUGUUGUGUGUGUAUUGCUUGUCGGUGCGUUUGUGAAUUGUUGUUCAUUUUGUGUAUAUUGUCUUUGUUUCUACUUUUAUGCUACUGAGCUGCGGAAAACCUUUCGCAUGUUUAGACACCUAUUAUGAUGCAACACAUUGCGAUUAAUGGUGGCUUGCAUCAACAAUGACAUAUCACUUUGCAAUGAUGUAAUACACUUAAAAAGCCAUCUUCAAAUCCCAAUUCACAUAUGCAGUCUUAAAAUUCCAAUUCAAUGCAGUUUGGUUAACAAACAUGUAAAUGUCAUGAAGGAGUUAGCGGUAGAAUUCGAUAAGGACCCGUACGUCUCUAUUGUGUAUUUACAUUAGUUUGAGAAUGGACAUUCCCAAAACCUUCUCAUGUACCAUUUGUCAUCUUCAACCAAUAUCAUGGGAAGUAAGCAUCUCCCCUUGUUAUCUCCGCAGCCAAUUUCAACCGAAAAAAAGGCAUGUUGUGCGAGGUGCAAGUAGCUAACGGAAGCUUAGCGCUGAAAAGCUCAAUGUACUUUAACACAAACAUGCCACAAUCGCCUCUGAAGCAAAACAAGAACUCGAUCAAUUAAACUAAUGACAUUCUAACGUAAUUGACAAUUGAAAGUAAUAAAAUUAAAUUGCAAGUUGUGCUUACUCAUUAGACUGUUGUGGAACAUCCACACGCUCUAUUGGCCACGGACACCACCAAUCUCGGCUGCAAUUGUUUGCAUAAACACCUUCUUCAUAAAAGUCGAUGGUGUUGAGAAGAUUUGGAAGCGUAAUUGAUAGCGGGCCGAGUUCUUCCUUUACGAUGUCAUCUGGAAUUAGUGAAACCUUUGAAUCGUACACUUUGAUUUCACACAAUACCAGAUCAAUCAUUACAGCCACCCAAUGCUUGUACUUCGUCAACAUAAAUGGGGUAUACACCUUAUAGACGGUCUGCCAAUCCAACCCACACGGAGGAACCUUCCCAUUUACAACGUUUAGUAAACUUUUUCUGAUUUUCCACCCAAGCUGCUGUUUUUUUCUUUUAUUAUCCGCAAAGCAAGAACGAAUGUGAUUCUGUGAAAUACAAAACAAUCAAUGCUUAAACACCUCCACUAGUGUGUGUAUGGAAAAUGUGUAAUUAUUAACGGCACUUGGUGAAGGCCGAUGACAUACCAUAAAAAAAACAUCGGUCGUUGUCCAGUCCGCUACUUCUACCGAAUCUGUCUCCAAUUGUUGUUGUCGCUUCCGGAUGAGAUACAACCCCAAAUCAAUGUGCUGCAACAUGUUUUUCUUGUCAUUCUCAUAAUGUAUGUGCAUUAAAACAAAUGCAUAAUCAAUUACACUUACAUCUCCUUUCAGCCAACCAUCAGCUUUCACGAGGGAAGCGAAGAAUUCAAUCUCAGCUUCCACGUUGCCAAAUUGCAUCACCAAACUAUGAAUAUAAAACAGUUUUAGAACACUGUAUAUAAAAAAUUAUAUACAGUCAUGCUUCUAUCUUAUAAUUGCAAGGGACUUACUUUGGGUCCUGGCGCCAUUCCCAACAAAGUUUCAGCAAUUUCACCAGAUCAUCAUGCGGAAUCGCCUUCAUUGGGUCUAAGAUCUUCAGUCCGGUUGUCUGUGCCCCAGUUUUUGGAACCAAUUCACUGCCUUCAACGAUCUUCCACAAAGGAAUGAUCCUCUUCCUUUUCCGUAAUUGGACCCCUUGUGCCAGAGCUUUACCUUUAUCAUUCAACCACACGUUCAACUGAGAUAGCACAGCUGUAGGUUCAUCCAAAUCAAUGUCCCCGACAGUAAACUCAAGCAGUGUCCCCUCCGUGCUCUCGCCAGUGUCACCCCCAUGCAACAUAACUUCAUUAUCUUCUUUCUCACAUUGGUUUCUUUGCACUUCCUUUUCCUCACUUGUUUGUGUUUUCACUUCCUUGCCCUCCCUUUUUUUCCUUUGCAGUUUCUCUCCCUUACUGCUUUUUCUUUUCACUUCCUCUCCCUCACUGCUCUGUCUUUGGGCUUCCUCUCCUUUGCUACUUUUUACGUGCACUUGCUCUCCUUCACUUCUUUUCCUUUGCCCUUCAUCUACCUCACUUGGUUUUCCUUGCACUUCACCCCCUUCAAUCCCCUCCUCUUCCUUUUCCUCUCCCUCAUUUCUAUUACUUGGCCCUUCACCUCCUUCAAUCCCCUCCUCUUCCUUUUCCUCUCCGUCAAUCCCCUCCUCUUCCUUAUGUGCUCCCUCAUUUCUAUUAUUUGGCCCUUCACCCCCUUCAAUCCCUUCAUCUUCCUUUUCCUCUCCCUCAUUUCUGUUACUUGGCCCUUCAUCCCAUUGAAUGUCAUCCAUUUCCCCAUAUCCCUUAAAUAGAUGUGAGACGACACAACGAUUCGUCCUCUGUUUCAGUAAAGCUAGGUCCCUCCUUACUUCCUGCUCAAACUGAGGACCUAAACAUUGGUCCAACAGUUUUUCCAUCCGUAUGACCUUUAAGUGAAGGACGUCUUUUUCCCGCUUUACUUGAAACAACUCGGACCUCAACAAGCUUACCACCUUGUUCAACUCAUCAAGAUCACCACAUGAAGAAGGAAUUGACUCUGUCGAGACAACAGCAGGGCGAUCCUGUGGCCAACUCCAAUAUGGCUGUCUCAUUUCCUCUUCACUUGGACAUAGCGCCCGCAACUGAACUGACUGUUUCAGAAUACAGACAAGAGUCAUAUUAAAUCAUUCUACUUCAUAAUUUCAUUCAAUCUUAUCAAUAGUUCUAAGGGCUGCAAACCAAACCUCUUUGCUCUGGAAAAAAUAAUUGUUCAACUUUCUCAUCUCUGGAACAGACGUAGUAGUUCUCCAUCGCAAAAUACGCGGGACAGCGGUCGGAUCAACAACCUUGCAGUAAUUCAGGUCCGCCAUUCUAGGAAUUAAUUCAUAUACCCAAAUCUACACAAUUCACAGGACAAAACUCAUUAUUUAUGUUUUAAAGAAAAACAAAACAUAACUGACAUGAACAUUAUUACCAUGUACCUGGAAAGCAUACGUGAAACCUUUAAAACUCCAGCCACUCCUUUGCGCUUCACCAUGCUUAUCCUUCUUGCCCUUCUCAUUUCUCUGGCUUGUUCCCGUUACCUUACUUUUCCCCUUCCCUCUUCCCUCUUCAUUUUCCAAGCUUUUCACAUACUUUGUUGGUGCAGAAAAUAGACUGUCUUGGGUUUUGUCAAAGGACACCGAACCCCACGGAUACCUGUUGAACGCAUCCAAGUCCUCUACAAGGGUCAGGUAAUUUAGAUUGAUGUUCAAAUGUUUGUCCCUUCCCAAAACCACUAACUCAGCAAAGUAAACAAGAGCUAGCUUGUAGAUGUCAUCUUCCUCUGUGCACCUCACAAAUGCUUCUUCUAAAGCAUUGCAUGUAAUUCCUUCGUCUAUAAAAUAUCUUUUCUGAAGUCUGAUUUCAUUACUCUCUCCACUGGAAACUUCAGGCACUUCCCCAAAACGAAGCCCUGUGAUCAAACAGAAAUCCUGACGAGUGAACUGAGCAACGUCACACCCUAAUAAGAAACUCAGUCCAUCCAAGUCUUUCACACCCUGCCCCGCUACUCUACGCAACACAACCCCAUGCACAAUCUGUCCGCUAAACUGAAUCUUAUCUAUAUUCAGAAGAUGGCCAAAGCAUGAUGUCUUGAAUUGUUCUAAUUGUUCCGCACUCAACUUCGCUCGAAUUGCAGCUAGAGAUGAAUUUGCAUGUGAGCAGUUGUUCACCCGUGACGAAUAUACCUCUGCCUCUGGCCAUACCAGCUCCACGUUGGAUCCCAUUUCCUCAAAUACAAUGUGAAAUAACGUGAACAUAUAUACUACCACGUAUUUGCACAAUCACAACUAGUCAACCAGGCACAUUACAACUUUUACAAAGUACAUGAGCAUAGGGAUUACUCAUCACAGGCUUUAACAUCAUCAAAGCAAUAUGACAAUUUUUGUGCAAAUACCUGUUAAUGCAAUGAUUAUGUGAAUUACAAACAAUUUCACGUGUUUUAUUUAUGGAUCCAUACUCGUGUGAGUGCAAUGUAGGCAAGUUCUGCACUUCACACACAUGACAAUUAUUGUCAUCUCAUACACAACCCAAAAUAAAUAAAUAAGAAAUAUAGUGGAAGGAAGCAAAGCAAAGCAUGUACUCUGCUAUCUGCUUGCUAAGCAAUUGCCACAUCCUUCUUUCUUUCUACCUUUUUCUUCAGUCACCCACAAUCGUCAUAGAUCAACCUUCAUUUCAAAUGCUUUGCACUUUUAUUCAUGAGUUUAUUAUUAUCUGUUCUCAUUUCUCAUAGGCAAAUUUAGUAACAAAUGAAAUAAUAUUUAUUUCACAAAAUAUAUAAAUUCUAGUGCCAGAGAGGUACUCUUCACUCUGCACUGCUUCAAAUGUGGAAGGUUUUGAGAUGUUAUUGACAUGUGAUUGACUUUAUUUUCAUUCGUUUUUUAACAUAUACCCAAGCAAAAAUUAACAUGCAAUUGAAGCACAAAUAAGAGAUGCCAAAUCCAACAACAUUGAUGGUACAAAUUGGGGAAAACCAUUACUCUAACCCUAAACUCAAAUUCCUUACAUUACUCAUCAAAUGCUUUGCAGUUCUAUUCAUGAGUUUAUUAUUAUCUGUUCAAAUGUUUCUCAGGCAAAUUUAGUAACAAAGGAAAUCAUAUUUACUUCAUAAAAUAUAUAUAUAUAUAUAUUCUAGCGCCUCUUCUUAAUCUGCACUAUGCACUGCUUCAAAUGUGGAAGGUUUUGAGGGCCUCCUCCAAUUCAACACCAUUAUCUUAUUCAUAUCAUUAUUGACAUGUUAUUCACUUGUUAUUGACUUGAUUUUCAUUCUUUUUUUAACAUAUACCUAAGCAAAAAUUAACAUGCAACUGAAGCACAACGAAGAGAUGCCAAAUCCAACAAAAUUUAUGGUACAAAUUGGGGAAAACCAUUACUCUAACCCUAAACUCAAAUUCCAUAAAUUACUCACCAAAUGCUGGUUAUUGCAAGGUGUCUGUGUGGGGUCUUUCUGUUUCUUUGCUCCACAAAUGGAACCUACCACUUCCAACGAAUACAGCUUCUCCCCUUCCCCUUCCACUGCUUCGCCUCUUCACUGAUUUGGAAUCCACACCUUUGCCCCUUCUACUCCAAAUAAAUACUUUCUCGGGGUCUGGAGAACGGAGUGGCGAAUCGUUGCCUUCAACUGUCGUUAGCCGUUGCCUUCAUUGGGUAUCUCAGACCUCUGUGUUUUAGAGAGAUGAGUUCUUUCUGUUCAAACUUCGAACUUGCCUCUUCUUCUUCUUUUUCGGACGUGUUUCCCUCUUCUUCUUCUUUUUGGACGUGCUGGAUAUUCAAUUCGGGUUUGGGUUCCUUACCUACCCAAUUGUGAAACUUUAACUCAAUUCUCCCCAGCCCUUGGAUUAAUCUGAUGGCUAUAAAGUGAACCCCUUAUAACUUACCCCUUAUAACUUUCCACUCAUUAUAGUCUUGGCGAAAUUGAAAACCCCAAACGAGGUUUUGGCGCUUACAAGUUAACUAUUCUUCUGGGCUAUUGUUGGAGUUGAUGUUGUGGCAGCAGUGUGUGACAAUUAGAGCAAGCUGUUAAGAGGGUGAAUGAGACCAAUACCACUUUGUGAUCAAAAGCAAGCUGAAUUCCGAGUGGGAAUUAAUCUCAUCCUUCUGGAGUGGGGACACUUUGUGAUAUUUACCUAUAAAUAAAAAAUAAAAUAAAAAGAACAAUAGCUUAAACCAAGGCUUUUUAUACAAAGGACAUACUGAUGUAGUGGUUCGAAGCAAUGCUCUAUCAAGAAAGGUUUAGAGUUUGAGUCCUAGCAUCCAUGCAUUUUGUGUGAGUUUAGUAUGCCAAUAGAAAGGGUUCCCAAAUAAGAAACCAACAUUUUUUUUUAUAAUUAUUCUUACAGUUUUAAAACUUUAUUUUUAGGCACAGUUGACCUGUCGCAUCCUACCUAUCGACUGGUCGUUUAUGCACAUAGAGUGAUUUCGUCAUCGCCAAACUCAAUCGACCGGUCGAGUUCCAAAUGUCGACUGGUCAUUUCUUCAUAGAUAGCACCAUCUUCAGCUCCAGACUGUGGCAACUGAUCGUUUUCUCCAGUGCGACCGGUCAUUUUCUUCGCGAGAGUAAUAUCUUUAAAUAGAUCAUUAUGCACUUCAAGUCCAAGAUUCUCCAAUCCAAGAUUCUCUAAUUCACUCCCCUUCUUCCUCUGAAUUGAAGAUGAAGGAGAGACAUAAUAGGACACUUCUUUAUGGAAAGUCACGUCCAAAGUAACAUGCACCUUCUAGAUAGGUGGAUGAUAGCACUUAUAACCUUUCUAAGUAGAAGAGUUACCAAUAAAAAUACAUCGCAGAGCACAAAGAUCAAAUUUACUCUGUUGAUGGGAGUAGACAUGAACAUAGGCAACAUAUCCAAAAACUUUAGGGGGCAACUUGGAGAUGGAGACAGGGGAAACAUGGUCACUAGACACAUCAUGUGGAGUCUUGAAAUCAAGAAUCCGGCUAGGAGUAUGAUUAAUCAAAUAGGCAGCAGACAGAAUAACAUGCCCUAAAGAUGAUAGGGAACAGACAUAUUCAAUAUGAGUGAGCAGACAACUUCAAACAAUUGUCGGUUCUUCUCUUUAGACACACCAUUUUGUUGAGGGGUAAAAGGGGGUUGUCAUUUGGUAAAUAAUACCUUGAGCAUGAAAGAAAUAUACCAAGUUAUCAGUCCAGAAUACUUUGACCUGAGCAGGAAAUUGAGUAGACAUCAUAGUACAAAAUUCUGGAAGGAUGGAAGCAACAUCAUGUUUAUUUUUCAGCAAGAAAACCUAAGUGAGUUGGGUACAGUCAUCAAUUAAUUUGACGAGCCAGUUCGAAGUAACGCAAGCCGGACUCCACACAUCAGAAUGCACUAAAUCAAAAGGCUUUUCAACUUUACUGUCACUCAAAGAAAUCACAAUGGGAUGGCUCUUGGCCAAAAUACAUGUCUCACACUUAAAAUUAGACUCAUCACAAGAGCGGAAUAAAGAUGGAAACAUAUGCUGAAGAUAGCCAAAUCACGGGUGUCCCAAGCGGCGAUACCAUAACUAAAUUUGUUGUUUGUCUUUGGCAUUACAGCUUUGAACAGUAUUAACAACACUGGUGCAGAAGGUAAUGUCAAAUAAUAUAACCCUCUUUUCCGUUUACCAUGCCCAAUCGUCUCGUAAGUCGUGAGAUCUUAAAAAAAAGAAAUGUGUGUGAUAGAAAUUAGUAGAACCAUUAAGUGUAUCAAUUAAUUGACUAACAGAUAACAAGUUACAAUGGAUAGUGGGAACUAGUAACGCACGAGACAAGGACAGAUUCGAAGUGAGUGAUAUUGUGCCCUUGCUAGUAAUUGGAGAGGGCAAACCAUUAGUACUAGUUAUAUAUGGGUCACAAGUGUUACUAGAUAAGUCAUCAAAAAAUUUAGCAUUAUAAUUCAUAUGAUCAUAAGCACCAGUGUCAAUUAUCCAAGUAUUAGAGUCAGGACCUGGAAUAGAGUCAAAAAUAAACAAAUUUGCAAAGCAGCAACAAUAGCACCAUUAAUGGAGUUAUCACCAUGAUUGCAACCGAAACUCAACAUAUCACGACAGAGUACACAGCGGAACACAACAGAGGCACAAAUAUGGCAGAUGUACGAAGACAGGCACGAACACAAAACACAGCAGAGUACAUAACAAAGGCACAAAUACGGCAAAUGCACAAAGACAGGAACGACACGAACACAAUAGAUACACAAACACUAUAACAGAAUACACAAACCCAGGAGAGCAGACACGGCACAGGUAGAAAAAAUAUAGGGCUAGAACACAGUUGGGCACAACACACAGGUCACCAAAAAGUUGGCUUUGAUACCAAGCCAAACAAUAUGGGGUAGAAUAUUUUCUAAUAUAUUUUUAUUCUCCAAAAUGAGGUAUUUAUAAUACAAGUGUGUAAACCGUAGUAUGGUUAUUCAAGGAAACAAAUAAACUCCUAAUUACACAAGAUUUGUACAAAAGAUAAAUUAAUAAAAUCCUAAUAGAAUAGGGAAUAAUAUCCUAAUAGAAUUAGGAGAUUGCCCAUCCUUAGGGACACGCGCAAGACCGAGCAUGUGGUAACUCAUUCGGCGGCUGAUUAACCCGUUAGCUCAGCCACAUGGUCAACAUAUCACAAAAAAUAGUGACCUUGAGAGGUUUUUCAGCAUCUAAACAAAAUAACUCCACCCUUUCAGUAUAAUUUGCAUCUCCUUGAGACCAUUUACUGACUUAGGCAUGUGAGAUUCUACAACCUUUAAUAUUCAUCUUUCCAUGCGGUUCCUAAGGAUAACAUAAGGUUAAUCUCUUGAACGUUCACGGUGGUAAAUACACCUCCAUAGGCAAUAAGGUUCAUUGGUCACCUACGAUAAACUUCUCUUGCUUGAAAAACAAACAUAAUGGGAAGUGAGACUCCCCUACAGGAGUCGAACGGUACUUCAAUAAAGAGAAAGAAAGGUAGGGCAAACAAGUCAGAUCGACGAGCGAUAGCGAGGUGUUGUCUUUUAGCCUAGAGAAAAUAGGUAUGGUAACUACAACUUCCUAAUAUGAAGAGUAAACGGAACGGUAGUGAGGCUCCCCGACAGGAGCCGAACGGUACUUCAAUCGAAGGAAGAACAAACAAGUCAACGAGCGAUAGCGAGGUGUUGUCUUUCAGUCUAAAAUAUAGAUCGGAAUGGUAACUCUAACAUUAGUAGUUGAAUAAUUCUCUGAAAGGGAAGUGAGGCUCCCCUACAGGAGCUGAACGGUACUUCAAUAGAGCAAGGAAGACAAACAGGAGCCAGGUAUGUUGUCCGAGCGGAGCGAGCUCCUUUACAAUUUAUAAUUAAAUCUAGGUAGGGUUACUAUAAAAGCAUCCCAAUAUGAAGAAUUCCCUCUGUAAGAGAGUAAGGCUCCCCUACAGAAGCCGAACGGUACUUCAAGAAUAGAUGGGGAUUAGUAUCAAUUCUAAAUUCUUGAUAGACAGAGAAAAACAUUGUCUUUGCUGUUGUUGGGAAUGAACGAACGCACUCAGGGCGUCCCCCCCGCCCGGAUAGAUGCAUAGAUAUGACAGCGAAGCGAAAGCGACGGUGGCUCCAUACCCUUAAAGGUGGGAAUUCUCAAGAAAUCAGUCUUUCAAUAGACUUUUCUUGGGACUUCUCAUACUAAGGGGAGGUGAAUCAUAGCAGAGGCUAACGAGCAAGAAAAGGCCCCUUACUAUUAUAGAUAGGCUAAGGCGCUUCUUUUUCAAAGUAAAGUUUCUCGUCCAGUGGUCAGGACAUCGUCUUUUCAUGUCGAAGACACGGGUUCGAUUCCCGUAAGGGAUAGGUACUCAUUCCCGGCCGCUUUCAGUUAGUGUUCAUUGCUGAGUGAUCGCUCGCUAUUUGGUUGGAAAGGGUGGUCUGGAAGCUUCCUCUCUCCCAACAAGCAAGACGAGAUCACCGCUUCUCUCAGUAAUGGACUUCCUUGAAUUCUUCCUUAUCCUGAUUCCAAAGUUUUUAUUUAUUCUUUACUUUUAAGUGAAAAGGGGGAGUUGGAUCAUAAAGAAGAGUUUGUUCCUUAACAAGUAAGCAAGUAAACUACCUUAGCGCAAGCACUAAGGAGCCUACUCGAUUGACAAGCAUAGCCUUGAUAGCUGCUUUAUUCGCCUGUGAACCAGGAAUUGAUUAAAAAAUAGGAAGCGGGCCAUAAGCGGUGAUAGGCUCCCUCCCUCCCAUCCCUUUCUUUUCUUCUCCCCCCAACUUUAUUCACUUCGCGGUAAACAGAGACUUUCCAAUAGCCAGCAGGGCAAAGCCUUUUUUGGGAGUCCAAGGGUGCCGCCCCCUACUACCCAAUUCCUGUCUUCGGAACUACGAAGAUAAGUUACUUUCUGCGAUGGCCCUCCACCUCGUUGGGAAAAGUAAAAAGAAAUAACAAGCCCUAAACUAAAUAUCAACUAGUAGCUUAUCAACCACCGAACACAGACUCAUGUUGGCGAUGCCAUGGUCAAGUAAGAGGACGACCCAUUCACCUCAAAAGAAAAAUCUCGCCUCUCAAGUAAGCCAAACGAUUGACGUCAAAGAGAAGGACCACCCACCCAGCAAAGAGCGAGGUCUUUCAACAAUGAACUUCACAAAAAGAGUGGAAGGCGAGAAAGAUACUUAGACAACAUUAGAAGAUCUUUUUUUUUUACUGUAUGAGUGGCUCGGAAGAAUAAUCGCGCCUCCAGUCGAUUUUACUUCAUGUCUGACUAGAUAAGUCACAAGGCCUAUCCUUUUUCAGGCCCAGGUCAUCUAGUCGGGGUCGACCACAAUUUCCCAAGUAAGAAAGAGAUAGAAUUUCACUAAUUGGAUUGGAAGAAAAAGGAGGGCUUCGAUCCAUUGUGAUUAGGAUCCUUGGUGUGGAGAGAUCUCUGCCAAAAAUCAAAGAGCGACGUAAUUCCCCAUUCAUCUGAAGUAGUAUUUUAGUAUAGAACAGAGGCUUUCUGAGCCGACUACUACGACUACAUGCGCAUCUAGUGCAGUGGCUUGGAAGCAAGCUACCUUGACCAUCUUCCGAAGUUCUAAAUAAUCUACUGAUCAAACGCUGUAGGCGCAGACUGCUCUACAUUCAGCCACGCCACAGUGACCUUCUAAAAUUCAUCUAUCUGAUUGAUGGAUCAUAAAACAAUUCAUGGUUCGGGCAGUUAUUAAGAAUAGGAAGGGAUAACCGAAUUGAGUUCAUGGAUUAAACUAGGUCGGGUUACAGACCAAAAAAUUAUUUUUCUAUUCGAAACCCAUUCAAAAGAAGGGACAGUGUACGAGAAAUCAAAUAAUACAUAAAUGAUAGAAGCCUCGAACGUUCGGAAAAUGCUAUGAGGUGGGUACAGAGGAGACGAGGGGUGCUAACCCAGCCACCCAACCCAGCAGGUCAGGGGCGGGCCGGCCAUAGGUUCGAAUCCUGCCACCUUUCUUGUGGAUCAUCCUGUGGUUACCGGAUGAUGGGAAUAACAAAGCAGAAAUUAUGAAAUGAGCACGAAAUGUCAAUAUAUGAAUUGUUUCAUUAUUCGUUAUUUCCGGGUCUUUUCAUUGCAUUCACUUACAACAAGAAACAACCACCAGCGUUUGGUGCAGCACCUGCAUUUUGGUGCAUUCUUCUUUCUUUCCUUGGUCUUUCGUUCCGUCAUAUUCCUAAUAACUUAUCCAAUUACAACGUAUUAACCGCUAAUGCACCUUUCUUUUAUCAAAUCUCAGGGACAUGGUAUAAUCAUGAGGGUAGUAUUUUAUCAUGGUGUCGGAUCCCAAGUUUUUAUGGAUUCCUUCUUUGUUACUGGGGUCGACCCCAAAGCCAUAAUGUCUCAAAACGAGGAGGCCAUAGAGAAACUCUUUUUUAUUCCUUUGUCUCGAACUUCGUGAAGAACUCCAUUCUAUCUCUCCCUCGUUACGAACAAAAAAGUGGUGGUGUUGUCUAUCUUUGUGGCACUUUCCUGAUUCAAGACUUGCUGUACUCACUUUGAUGUAUUUUAUAAUAUAAAUUAUAACUAGCUUAAGGCUUGAUAGAACUCGUAACACAGCUUAUAAAGAAUACAAGAUAAGAUCUCAAGUAAGAGUAAGAGACUUAGUCUAAGAAAGGAAAGUCAUUUCGUGAAAUGGGAUUCGUAGCCAGCAAGCAAUAGCAUCCUGUUGUUAUAGAAGAAAUGAAAUUGCAUAAAAGAAAUAAGGACCUCGCUCGAAAGCGAAACGAAAUGGGGGACACUAUCGGGUAUGCCUGACAGAGAGAAUUGCUUGCAACGCAACUACAAGCCCAGAUGCACGAAUGAAAAGAAUAUCCAUGUGGCUGCGUAGAUAUUUUCAGAAUAUUCUAGAUUUUAAUCCAUUUGACUGCAUGCUUCUUACUGUUUUUCUGUUAGCUUUGAUCUUUAUCUAUCUAUGGCUUUAUUGGAGAGGGAGAAAGAUUCCCUUUCAAUUGAAGCUAAUCGUGCAUCUCGUUUUGGUUUUUUUUACUUUUUUUGUGGUCGCACAGAUCCAAAGUUCUUUCUUUAUUGCCGUAGGGGCCAUUCUGGUGGUAAUCCAACCAAAAAGAGUUUCUCUUCUGAGCACCGCUUUAUUCCACCUUGUCGUAGGAGAUAAUCUAGUCGUCCUUUGAAGCUAAAGCCACCCUUGCCCUUCAGGUUCCCUAAGUUAUUAGCUGAAGAAGUCCCGUCAAUGGAUAAGAGAAGGUAAAGCCACGAGCAAGCUUUAUCUAAAUCUGCUAACUCCUAGCUUUUGUUCCUAGCCAUUAUUGCCUCCAGGGAAAAGACCUAUAGUCACAUAAGCGAAAGAUUCUUUCCUCUCAUCUAGUGGAACGGGGCCUUAACCUGUUAUUAUUCUUGAAUGGACUGAUUUCGGAGGGAAUGCUUUAGAGCUAAGAAUAAUUUGUAAGGGAUCGAGUGGCCGGUAUUGGACGAAGGGGAAGCUGCCCCAACCACUACAACAUAGGGGGCUCGGAAGGCAAAUUUGUUCACUGUCCUAGAUUCAGAGGGGGUCGUGGAAGAGGGGGAAAUUCAUACACCUAGGGGUAUCCAGCAGGAGGACUUUUUACUUUUUCUCUUAGAGUCCUCGGGAGCAUUUUUCUCUUUCGGUGGAACCGGUGAACCACGCGAGCUGGUUAGAUGCGCGGGACAAAGGGCUCGUAGUACCUGCUAGCGCAGCUAUGCUUUGUAAGGGAAGGAGCCUAAAUCGAACCCCUUCUUUCUUUUUUUUUCUUUGAAAAAAAGCAGUACAAAGAGAUUCUCGGAUGAGACUAAGCAGCCACCGACCGUUCUGACGCGCCCCUAACCUAUCUUGAUUAAGACCGAAAACUCUCUAAAAUGGAGCCUGGUUUAAGCUGUCAAACAAAUGAUAGAAUAAAAAAAAAAAAAAAAAAAAAAAAAGAACCACUAGUAGGGAUAUGGAUGGAGUCUCGCUCAGUAAAGAGAGUUGUAGAUUAGUAGAAAAGGAGAAGAGCCUUUACUUGAUAUAUUAUAUAUAAGUAUUAGUAAAGCGCUAACGCUGCCAUUUUUCUAAAGCAACAAGCGCGAAACUUUACUUUUUGAGAAAGAAGGUGCUUGUUGCCGCUUUAUUAGUAAGUAAGCUUGUUUUAUAUCAUAUCAAUAAAGGCGAAAGGUUGCUUUACCAAAUAAUAUAAGGCGCGUUAGCGCUUUAGAAGGACAUUUAGGCUUUACUAAUAGAAUAUAUAGGGCGUUUUUUUCACACAGGUUUGGAACCCUAUACAAGGGGCGUUUCCUUUCAAAUGACAACAGCCUCUUCCUGCUGCGAGGGCGCUGCGCGAAACCAAACCGCCCCCCCCGCCCCCCCCGCCCGAUCAAGUACCAGUUGCUUUACCGGCGGGCCCACUUAGGCGCGCGCGCGCUUCGGAUUGUCUAUUACUCAUAUUGCAUAUUCGUAAUAGCCAUCUUUCUUGAAAGAAAAGCAUAAGGAACGUUUCCCCCCUUAAUCCCCC
rnacentral:lncRNA from 1 species